rnacentral:lncRNA from 1 species
AAUUUCUCAGUAUUAAUUUGUUCAGCUGCUCUGGGAGGUUGAGAGAGUACUAUUUGGUUUUAAAAGUAACCUUGAAUGAAAUUACCAAUUCUAUCCAAUCAUCCAAAUUGGUGUAUGACUGGCCAUUUUGGCAGCUUUACACAAACAGAAUUUGACAAGGGUAACAAUUGGCUGAAAUUAAAAAAUUACAACCAGAAACAGUUCCCUUCAAAUUCACAAGAACUAAGAAUGGCUCUUCACAAGGACGAGAGGGAUAGAGGAGAAACAGAAGAGGGUGCUUAAAAGAAGGCAUCUCAUUGCACAAAAAUUACAUGGGCAAGCAGAAGCUGGCAAAAAUGUGUACCCAUAUCCAUAAUAGUACCCAAAAAAAGAACAAAAUUUCAACAAUCACUUGGGCUGUAGAAUGGACUCAACAAGGUCCUGAAGAGGUGCAAGCUCCCCUUUGUCAAUCAAGCGGAAUUCCUGCAUCACAACAGUGUAUCUUGACUCAUAUAAAACCGGUCUAUAUGGACCAACGAGCAAACACAACCCAAAUUAAAAUGAAACUUACCCAUGUGAAGAGAACAAAAUGCUUGAAGCAAGUAUUGAGAUGAGCUUCUUCCUUCAAGCUCACAAUUUUCUGAAAAUGAGAGUGAUAGAUAUGGGCAUAGACACGGAACAAUCGCUUAAAAAUGGUCUUGACAACAUCUUGGAAGUUGGCUGGAAAGGGUGCCCCUGUAACACAUAACAGCAAAUUAGUUUAUGGUGUUUGUAGUGUGCAAUGGUUAUAAAUAGAAACUAGGUACUUUAUGCCUUGAGCUUCAUUAAGAAUUUUUCUGCUUACCCAAUCUUUGAGGAAAGAUUGAUUCCUCAUCAAGCUGAUUUUCAAUCCAGUCCAUUAAAUACUCUACAUAUUUUGGGGCAGAGACCUCUAUUGGUUUCUUAAUGUUAACUCCAUCAGCCCAUCUGUACUCGUACCUGCGGAGUGUUCAACCAAACUGAGCACUUAGAUCACAAGCAUACGGUCGUAGCUAACAAGUUUGUAAAAGAAUUCACUUUAGGGUGCAAACUUUUCUCUUUCAAGUAUGAAGUCAAUACAUGAUAAUGGAGGAAGCUUGAUAAUCAAGAUAAAUCAUCAAAAUGAAUAAAUUCAACAAUCACAACAACUAGAGUGAUUUGAUUGGAUGAUCAAGAGCCAUACUUCGAUCCUGCAGACAUUGUCGGACAAUUGACCGGUGUGCAGAACUCAGUGAGAGUACCGUACAGAAUGUUCACUUGGUUGAAAAAAUCAACAGCUGUGUAAAAAAAAACGAAAUUGAAACAAGUUAAACAUAUAGCAAAAACAAUUUCCCCAGUGAAUAGCAGAUAGAUAAAUAAACAUGCAGAGACAAUAUGAAACGCAACAAAAGAAGAAGUUAUGAACCAUGGUGCCAUAUGCUGAAUGAAAUAUUAUAAUUAUGAUGAUCUUGAAUUUCAGAAUGAAAGUGAUUCAAAGUUCUUACUGUUUACUGCCAGCCACUCAUUUAUAUCUUCUCCGGGAGGCAGACGAACAGCCUCCCUCAGGUUCCCACUGCCCAAAGUUGCAUCAAUGUGUUUUUGAAGCUGGGCACCCUGCAUUCCAACAACAUAAUAUAUAUUGCUUCCAUCAGAUAAAAGAAAAAUAAACCUUUGACAAAGUAAAAAGAUACAAAUCACAGGACUAAGUAACCAUAAGGAAUUGAAUUGAGGUAUAUAUAUAUAAGUUAUAACACCAACCUUGCUUCCUGAUGGAGCACUCUUUUUAGGCCGAAAUGUCUUUUGGUUUCUGCACAAUCAAAGAUGGAAUUCAGGGGAAAAAAAAAGGUAACGUCUUCCAAAUUCAAACAAAGAACAAAGUAAGAAUUUUGAUAUGUCUCAAAGGCAAGAAACAACAAGAACAAAUAACCCUUUUGUCUGAUCCCACAUAAUUUGUAAAUAUUAAGUAAACAAAACCACAUAUCUAAUUUGCAAUUUUAAUUGAUGCCCAUGUAGCAGACACCUCUAGCAAGGCCAAAUAUAACAGAGCUAUGGUGGGAAAAGCUCUCUGAUUUAAUGAUGCAACCAAGAAUGAAAAAAAAGGCAAAAAAAAAAGGGUUGAAUUCUAUAGAAUUCAUGAUCCUGAAAACAUAUUAUGAUCGACUGAAUGAAAAGGAAAAAAAGAAAGAAUUAAUUUUCAACAUAUGGGAUUUAAAAUUGAGAUCCUAAGCAAAACAAACCUGCUUCCCAGGCCAAAGAGACUCAUCGUGUUUCUGUCUGUCUCACCCCUCUCUCUCUGCAGAAUCCAAGGCGAUAAUACAGGGCCAAUUCGAGACGAAAGAAGGAAUAUAUAUACAGAGCCAGACUAUAUAUGAACAUUUAUCUAUAUAUAUAUUAGAGAGAGAAAGAGAGUUAGUCUCUCUCUCCCCACCUCUUUCUGCUUGACCUCGCUCAUGCCAGUCUGUCAUUUACAGCUUAGACUGAGAGAGAGAGAGAGAACCUUGUCUUCCUUUCUUUUCCAUUUGAUUGCCAACCUGCUAACCUGGCUCAUUCUCCUUAUUUCUUUCUCAUUACUCUCUUUCUUUAUAGUUAUGUAAAUACAUAUAUUAUGCAUGUAUAUUGUUCAUGGUCAAAUUAAGACUCCUUCAACUGGCCAAAAGAGGAAAAAAAUUAUGACCCUAAUGAGGUGGCACUUAAUAAUGGUUACGAGCAAGCUUGUUAUGUUCCGUUCUGUCAACUAUUGAUGUAAGUUAAUUCUAAAAUAGGUCUCACAUACCGUAUAUCAACAACUAAUGGUCGUUAGUGCGUAAAUUGAGCAUAAAAUGGUUGGUGAUAUCUAAAUCAUAAUCACUUUAAUUCUAAUGAUUGGGAAUUUAGCAUAAUUAAAGAGGAUCAUCCUUGGUAAUUGGUAGUAAGAUAAGAUUCAUUAGAAAAAGAAAAGUAGAGUGGCAAAGUGAAGUUUGUGAAUCAAGGAUAGAGAGAGAUGGAGAUAGAGAACCAGAUUCAGCAUCUAAGUAAGGCGAUUAGGUCGUGAGAGAAUUUUAAAUGUGAGGGAGGGGUGGGGCCAAGAAAUGAUAAUAAGAUAUAUAUGCAUCUUAGCUGUAUUUGUACUGGCACAAUAUCAAGAUACACAUCGAUUUUAAUUUGUCCAAUCAAGUUGUGUUGAAGCUGGACCAUGCCCUAUAAAUCAAUUAUUUAUGCACAAACUUGGUUUUAAAUACAAAUUAAGUUAUAGCUUGAGCUUGAAGCCUAGAAUUCGAUAACCUAUCAUGCACCAACUCCUUGGGGUCUUAUUGAAAUGGGACACUUCAAUUUUAUAUCAAAUUAGCUGAUUAAAAAAUUGCGGAAUAAUAUCCUUAAUUUUGGGAAUGGAUUAGUGAUACGAGACACGUUUACCAUCCAAAUGUUAAAUUGUUGUUAACAUUUACAUGCGCUAAAAAUUUAAUUUUUAUUUCCGAGUUUUUACUUAUAUUUUAUUUUGAAAAAUUAAAAGAACGAGAGAGGGUUCGUGUUCUGAUUUUUCUAAAUGAGUGAUCAUAAAAGCCCUAUAAUUUUGAACAGAAAAAAAUGGCGUUGUUGACACUUCCCGCCAUCUCGGAGCUCACUUUACCGUUAUAAUAAACGGAUUUUCAAACUCCCCAAGCUCCAUACAAGUUUUGAACAAUGAAAGAGUCCAAAGAAUCCGCAUUAUUACAGGCCUAACGCAAUACGCCAAACUAAACCCAUCUACCACUAUGGGCCUUCUUCUGCUCACCCGUCAACAUCACCUUUUACCUUUCUCCUGCCACGUGUCCCCGACCCUUUUGCUGCUGCAGUACUUGGUUUUUUUACUUUUUCCGGUGGUGCGGUACUUGGUUUGGUUGGUGCUUAAAGAUUUGGAUUUUUGUUUUUCUGAUAUGGAUGUGUUGAUGCAUUGUUGUUUUCAAAAAUUAGGUUUUACUGAAUGGCUUUCCGGAAACUUGACAAUGCAAGGGAGAUGGGUGUUUGAUGAAAUUAAAUUAAAGUUAUGAACUUGAUGUUGUUCUUAUGGAAAGUGACUCAGAAAAAGUGAUUGAAAAGUUUUUCUCUAAAAAAAUGAUGCUUCUUGAUAACCGUAGUGCAUUUUGUUGUAGAGGAGAUGGAAAAUGUGAUUGGAUAACCGGUUUUGGCUUGCAUUUAGGUUAAUCAGCACAACUUAAGCCCGGAUUGAUAAUUAAGCUACUUAUUGAAGUCUUAUGAAGGAAUUGUAAGGAAAAAACUUGAAAAAUCUCGUACGAUUGUAAGGUGUCAAUUUUGACAAUCACAUGUCAAAUUUGACAAAUAAAUGAGAUUUUUCUGAUUAUGGAAGAUGGUGAGCAAGAACAAUUCUUGGUUGGCAACACCCAUAAAGAAAUCUGGACCACACAAAUUAAUUGAUAGGGUUAUUGAGUAUACGAUGUGCAUGUGUGAUUAGAAUUGUUUCCAUACUCCAAACUGUUACAAGUUAUGCAUUUAUAGUAUUCAUCUUAAGAUGCAAAUAAGAAAAGGGUUCAAAUAAUAAAAACUUCUACAACUGGCCUGAACUCUAAUUAAUCCUGCAGUUACAAGCCUUCUCAAUCACAGAAAGGAAAUAAAAAUGGACAUGGACAUGGAACAAAAAAGAAAGAGACAAUCUUUGAGAGUCUGAAAAUGUGAGGCUUGAGCACAUGGGAGAAGAUAUUAUGGGGGCAUAAUAUAGUCUACUAAAAUCCUUCAACAUUAAGCACACACACAUUAAAACUUCUACAAUCAUACAAUUAAACAGCCACUGACCUGAACUCUAAUUAAUCCUGCAGUUACAGGCCUUCUCAAACACAGAAAAGAAAACCAAAAUGGACAUGGACAUGACAUGGAACGAAAAAGAAAGAGACAAUCUUCUAGUGACAUUGCUUUUUGGCAUCUCAAGAGAGAGACCUUAAUUAAUUAGUACCACCAAGAACACCCUUCAGUUUCUUUAUCUGAGCAGCAUCAAGGAAAGUAGUCUGAGCUAUUACUUCGGUAGGCAAAUCGUUUUUGAACAAAGCAAAGUCCAGAAUUUGGAGACCCGGGCUUGCACUCCCGAAGCUAGCAAAUGCAAGGGCUGGAGCCUCACCUCCAUUGACUUGGAAGUGCAACAGCCCCUGUGGGAAAACCAUAAUGUCACCCUUCUCAAGAGUUUGCAGAUAAGGUGUGUUAUCUGAGGCAACAAACCCGGCGCAGAUUGUCCCUUGGGCGACAAUUAGGACUUCUGAAGCUCCAGGGUGUGUGUGAAAUGGGACAACUCCGCCAACCGCCAAGUCUAGACGGGCGAUGGAAAUGCCGAGGCCAUUCACACCAGGAAACUGAGCAACAAAUGCAGGGGUGACUGCAGCUUUGAUGAUGUUACUGGUGUUACCAGCAAUGCCCAGGCCCGAGAACACAAAAUCAUUUACUUUAACACUUGCAGGCUUUUUGCAAGAGAAGCCUGCAGGGCCUUCAGGAGCUGCUAAGUCUGCAACACAGAAGUCUUGCACAGCCGCAUUGGAGGAGGAGAGGAGGAGAAAAAAUGUGAACAAGAUAGGGAAAAUCAUCGUUGCCUGGCGCAAUAGGUGUGUGGUGGCUGCAAGCUUUCUUUUCUUUUAAGGUGUGCAAGUCUUGAUAAGAAAAUUGGGAUCAUAUAUAGUGGGAUAAUGCAAAUAUCUUGAGCUAUUGCAAUUGGUUGCUGAGAAUAUGCUACCCAUGUAUUCACAUGUAUGGCAAUGCUAAAGGUAUACGAUGGGGGAAAGGACAGGUUUCAAGCUGUGAUGCAUGUGAGUAUGAUAUUUUUCUCGGAUAACAACAAGAAGCUUCUUUUUGUUUUGGGUUAUUGAUCGAAUGCUCCCUCAAUUUUUGCCCCAAUAUCAUUUUGGUCCAACAAUUAAAAUUUUCAUUUCAAUAGUCCUUCAACUCUUUAUUUGGUAUCAAAACGUUAAAAACUGUUCAUAUUACCGUUAAAUCAAGGGGUAAAAUUGUCCAUAUGAAUUAAAAUAUGAAUAAAAAAUUAAAAAUUGAAUGAACCUAUUAUAAAACUUAGAAAAUUAAAAAAAUUGAAUCUCACCGCCUACUGUAGUCCACUCACCAGCCACAUGGCCUUUUUUUUUUCUUUUUUUAUUGAGAUUGACUUAAAAAUUAAUAAAAACGACCAUCCGCAAAACGCAACCCCUCCCUUUUCCUCACCCAACACAAAUCCUCAAUGACUUGAUGGCCUCAAAAAGAGGCUGAAUUCCAAAGAUUUUGGUCCAUUAAAGCAGUUCCAGUGGACAAAUGCUGCCAGGGUUGUUGGUGGGCUCCACAAGCCUGGGCUGGCCCUCAAGCAAAACCAGCUCUUGCUCUAGCUUGGGUUUGCUGACAUCAGCGAUGACGUCAUCAACCAAAAUUUUAAAAAAAUUAAAAAUUAAAAAUUUCAAAAAUUUUAAAAAAUAAAUACUUAGUAAUAUUUUUCACUUCCCACACCAAAACUCUAUACAAAUUCCUCUCCUCAUAUCUCAUAUGAAUAGUGGUUACCAUGGUAAUGAGUGGAAACACCAUAAGCCUUUUGCAAGGGCUGCAACUAUUCACCUGAAUAGUAAUAGCCCUUGCCUCCCCUUGCCAUUUGCCAUGGCAAAUGGGUGGAAGUGCUCUUAGAUUCCAACAAAAACCCUUCUCUUCCUCUGGACUUUCGUCGAGCAACUGAUGGGAAACUCCAAGUCGCACCACCAGCAAACAAGGACCUUUAAGCCCAUUUCGAUGGCUGCCAUGGGGUCUGCCACUGCCUCCAACCCCUCUCUGAUUCCUAUGACGUCAUACGCCAAUUUCCUCUAGCCGUCAGAUCCAAGCAAAACUGGUCUCUCUGUUUUGGUGUUUCCAACUCGGCUCGCGGCUCCGAUUGUCCUUUCUGAGGCAAGCGCGAGGUUCACGACCACGUGGUUGGCUGCGAAGCCUGCAAGCGCGGCUUUCACCUCACAUGCACCGGAAUGCGCACUACCAAGCCAUGAAUUUGGAGAAAUGGGAAUGUGAGGAGUGUACGAGCAGUGGGGUUAGAAGCAAGUGCUGAACGUUUGGAGUUUUUUUUUUAAUUGGUUGAAAGGCCACCUGAAGUUAAGUUCAAGCAGAUUUUGCAAUAUUUUACUUUAAUUUUUAAUUACACUUCUUUUUCCAACAAAAAAAAAACUUUAUUAAUAUUUUAAUUUAUAUGGAUAGUUUUACCCCUCAAUUUAAUAAUAAAAUUGACAGACUUUGACGGUAGGACCAAUUUGAUACUAAACGGAGAGUUGAAGGACCAUUGAAAUGAAAAUUUUAGUUCAUGGACCAAAAUGAAACUGGAGCAAAAAUUAAAGGACCAUUCCAAUCAAUAACCCUUUUGUUUUUGCCCUAUGGUUUCAGAGUUACCACUAACCGUGAUGAAGCAGGCAUGAGUUCCCGAAUCUUUCGACGUUUGAGUACAAUCCCAUGUAGUAGUUUAAAAUUUUUUUGCCCACGAAGUGAUAAUUUGUUAGCUUUUUCCCAUCUGUGUUCUAUAGCUAUGACCAAUCAAACAGAUAAAGUAUAUAUUCAGCAUAUGCUGCAACUAUUUUCCUGAAUUGAUCAAUACAUUAACAAAAUAUAUAGGCUUAUUUCAUGUGUUGCUAGUACUGAAGGUUGUGUUUUAAGAUUUGAAAUCCAGCAGGAGAAGCCGAAAAAUGGUGAGCAGAUUGUGGCCCUUGAGAAAAUGGGGAAAGAUAUUCAAGGGAAGCCAUUUUGACAGCUAAAAAAUGCCAGAGGAAUGGGAAUUCUGUGGAUAUCAAAAAUUCCCCUUCUUGUAGGGUUCUUGGAUUUCAAUAUAGGAUGGUAAAAUGUCUCUUCAAAUUCUGUCUCUUUGUGGUGUAUCUUUACUAAGAUUCUUCUAGAGUUCACCUUAUCAUUAGAAGAUGGCACCAACACCACAUUGCUUUUACAUGAAUAUGAGCCAAUGAUUACCAAAAACCAAAAAAAAAAACAAAUUUAUAUGAGCAAAUGUAGAAUAAUGUAUGGACAAUUAAUUCAAUCUCAAUUAUGUGGUAUGACAUAAUGGAAAAACUCAUAUUCAUAUAAAGAUGUAGACAAUCCAAUCUCAAUUAUGUUAUGUUAACAAGUAAUUUUUUUGUCCUUAACCAAGUUGACAGAGAAAAAUUAAGGAGUCCCAAAUGCAUUGCUCUUAUACCUCCCUUUGUAACACUGACUCCGGCUCAUGGACGCCAGUCUCCUUAAUCUUAGUGAUUAGGGAUCCAGCAGAAACUUUAUACACAAAGCAGUCUUCAACAAUCAUCCUCUAUACCCUUAAGCCUUCCAGUGAUCCCGUAGCCACGACAACGUCUUCCUGAUGAAUUACACUCGUUAAAUUUAAGAAAAAAAACUCUCACUUCACCUGGAGUCAGUAAAAGAUGUACAAUGUAGAUGAAGGAAGUUGAGGUUCCACCCCAAAAUCAAUUGACAAUGGGGGGAGUAGCCCAACUCUCAGUAGACAUCAUAAGAAGAAAGGAGCACUAUCACUUACAUCAACAACAAGAAUACCACCUGCCACUUCCUCAAAGUCCUGCAUACCCGUUAUAUAUUGGGGAAGGUUAGAAAAACAGAUGGAAGAAGUACUAAGAAGAAAGGAGCAAUAUCACUUACAUCAUCAACAACAUGAAUACCACCUGCCACUUUCUCAAGGUCCUGCAUUCCAGUUAUAUAUUGUGAAUUGAAAAUUAGAGAAACAGCUGGAAGAAGAACUAAAUUAACAUGUACCUUUAUGUACAACAUGGUUUAAAAUUCAAAUCACUUUAUGCGCACCUCCAUAUAGGAACCAUCGGGACCAAAAAGAAGUGUUUUCAGUUCGGAAUGUUGUUCCUGCACAAAAUAUAGAUUAGACCAAAGGCUCAUAUUACUUGCCCAAUGCUCACAUUAAUUCCAAAUUUGAUAAAAAUUAUAAAGAUCAAGCAAAAGCUGUAACACCAUGUUACAGUGCUGAAGUUAAGAAGUACGCCACUUAACGGUGUGCAGUAAGGAAAUAAUACACAGCCGUUUAAUUGUUUUUGCUAGAUGUUUUUCUAACUGUUGGCAAUAUAAUUGGGGUGCAGGCACUUAAAAAACUGGCAGGUUGUAAUGUUGUUCUUGCUGAGGUAAGUGUUACAGUUGCUUUGUGAUUUUGAUGGCUACAUUGCUUGCACAUCUUGUUCUAUCUAAUAUUUUUAAUCUGCAUGUAAACUAUCAGUGGAAGGAGGCAUUAUUUUAGCUAUAGGCCCAUUUGAAGGAUUAAGGUUGAUGAGGACAUUCAUGGAAGACUGCAUUGUUUGCAACGUUUCCCCUCGAACCCUUAUCCGUCGGGUCAGAGAUGUGGAUUGUAUGGCUGUUUACGGUAAUCUGCGUUAUAUCUCUGGUGACGGCUUUGAGUGCAAGGAAUGAUUUUGGAGCCGUUGCCUUCUUUUCUCUGUGAAUUCUGAAUUCUAUAUGGGGUCGAGAGUAGUAUGUCUUGAUCUCUUGGACUACAGGGGUUCAAGAUAUUUGUGAUCACUCAUCGUUGGAUAUAAAUUCAAUGGUUCACUCACUCUUGCACUCCUUUUAAAUAACUUUUUUGAACUACUAGAUUAAUAUCUAACGGUGGGUGACUACAAUCUCUUGGACUCCUGUGGUCCAAGAGAUCGGGACUGUGAACAUUAGUAUUAAACAAUUUCCUCCGUUCAUCAAACAUUAUUUUGGUAUAUAUAGUUACCAACUUUCCAUAUUAUCCUUAUUAUUUUCUUAACAAUACGAUAUUCUAAACUACUCUAAAAUACGGAGAGGGAGAUUUGAGCUCAGGUGCAACUGGGUGGACACAGCUGCUAAUGCGUGUGCUCCUUAUUUUCAAAUCUAUUAUUUGAUUACAGGCCUUCUCAAUCACAAGAAGAAAACAAAGGGACAAUCUUUAGUGACCUUCUUCCUCUUCGGUAUCUCAAUAGACCUUAUUAGUGCCACCAAGAACACCCUUAAGCUUCUUUAUCUGAGGAGCAUCAAGUAAAGUAGUCUGCGCUAUCAAUUCGGUAGCUAAGUCAUUUUUGAAGAGUGCAAAGUCCACAAUCUGCAGACCAGGGCUUGGACUGCUGAAGCUAGGAAAUGCAAUGGCCGGAGUGUCACCUCCAUUCACUUGGAAGUGCAAUAGUCCUUGAGGGAACACGAUAAUGUCACCCUUCUUAAGAGUUUUCAGAUAAGGUGUGUUAUCUGAGGCAACAAACCCGGCAAUUAUUGUCCCUUGGACAACAAGUAAAACUUCUGAAGCUCCGGGGUGAGUGUGAAAGGGGACAACUCCACCCGGACCCAGGUCUAAACGAGCCAGUGAAAUGCCAAGGCCAUUCACACCAGGAAAUUGGGCAGCAAAUGCAGGGGUGACUGCUGCUUUGAAGAUAUUUGUGGUGUUACCAGCAAUGCCUAGGCCUGAGUACACAAAAUCAUUGACGGUAACUAUUGCGGGCUUUUUGCAAGAGUAGCCUGCAGGGCCAUCAGGAGCUUUGUAGUCUGCAACACAGAAGUCUUGCACAGAGGCAUGGGAAGUGGAGAGGAGGAGAAAAAAUGUGAAGAAGAUAGGGAAAAUCAUCUUGGCUGAGUGUAGCAGGUAUUUGUUUAAGCCUUUUUGAGGUGUGCUUCUGUAAAGCAAAUUGGGAUUUACAUAUAUAGCGGGAUAAAGCGAAUAUCUUGAACCACUGCAAUUGGUUGGUACUAGGUAGGAAUUUGCCCAUAUAGGACUCACAUGCAGGGGCGGUGGCAGGGUAGGCAGCCGCCAACUCCAUUUUUUGCCAAACUAAAAAUUACUCAAUACCCAAUACAAUCAAAUUUCUUCUGUUUACUCAAACCCAACCCACCAGGGGCAGUCCUACCCUAAGAGCAGGGUAGGCAGCGGCUACUCCAUUUUUUGCCAAACCAAAAAUUAUCCAAUACCCAAUACAAUCAAAUUUCUUCUGCCUACUCAAACCCAACCCGCUCAAAUUUUUUCCUUUAACAAAAACAAUAGCCUAGCACACUCAAACUUUCUCCUUUAACAAGAACAAUAAAAAGCAAUAUAAGCAUGUGAAAGAUGUGAAAGUUGUAUGAAGAUUUUUUUUUUUUUUAAAAUUACAAAAAAGGUGGUAGGAGUGUCACCUCUUCGAGCCGGGCACGAAUUAUGGGAAAGUUCUCCCCAAGAGGUUCGUUACACAUGCAGAGGAUCGAACUCAGGACCUCAGUGUGGAGCCCGAUCACAUUCGCCCAACAUGUGUGGCCUAGCCCAUUCAAUUUUCCACUAGACCAAACCCACUUGGGUAUGGAGAUAUUUUUCAACGUUGACUAACAUUGUGAAUUUUGUUAGUGCGUCUGCUAAGCGCUGUAAUGAGUUAAAUUUAUUUCGAAAAGCUAAACUCAAAGAGUUGUUAGAUUUUGGGGAACUUGAGACAGAUAGAAGACUUAAUCAAGGUCGUAGUUUGAAACGAGCUGGAGCCGCUCGUUGGGGAUCUCACUUUGCCUCUAUUACAAGUUUGAUGAGUUUAUUUAAAGAGACUAAAAUACUUCUCCAAGAAAUCAGUGAUUAUGGACCUAACCAACAAUUUCAUGGCAAUGCAAAGAGUAACUAUAUUGCUAUGAUGUCUUUUGAGUUUGUGUUUUCAUUGUUUUUGAUUGAUAAAAUAAUGGGAUUGACCAACUUUCUUUGUCAACUGUUUCAGACAAAAACCUAAGAUAUUGCAAGUGCUUUAAACUUUGUUGAAAACACGAAAUCACAGUUCCAAGAUAUGAGGGCACAUGACUGGGAUGAUUUAUUCAUGGGUGUGGUAUCAUUUUGUGAACAACAUGGUAUUAAUGUUCCUGAUAUGAGUUCUCGUUAUAUGAGUCCCUACCAUAAGAAUGAGGAAACCCGCUUCUUUAUUAUAUUUUGUAAAUAUCUCUUCCUUCCCUUCCAAAGAAUAUUUUUCUUAGAAGUCGGCGAAUCGUAAAAGGACUUGUAUAAAAUGAUUGCUAUCUUUCGGCUUUCCACUUACCCGGUUCCCCACGCGGCGAAUGGGUACGUCCGGGGUCGAUCGUAUAGAUUGACGCAAAAUUUUUUUAUUUUAACGAAUCGUGCCGCCGAAGAAACCUCACCCUAACCACAUAAAGCCAAAAAAUUAGCGGUCGUUUUUGUCAAUAAAAAGAUUUUAUUACAGUUGAACAUUACUAUUACAUUAAUGUAUUUAAUGAUGUGAUAGAUUGCAUGGUGAGGGAGUUAAAUGACAGAUUUCUAGAGCAAACAGUUAAACUUUUUAUUUUUAGCUCAGCAUUUGAUCAUCGUAAUUCCUUCAAAUCAAUCAAUAUUGGGCAUCUAUGUAAACUUGCUGAGAAAUUCUAUCAUGCUGAUUUCAGUCCAAGUGACUUGAAAGCUUUAGAAAUUGGGAUGAGGUAUUUCAAAAUGAUAAGCAUCGCCUUCCCCGCUUUAAGGACCUCACCACUCUUCCUCAGUUAUGUCAACAAUUGGUGGAAACAACUUUGGGAGAAAACUACUAUUUGCUUUACAAGUUGAUUUAGUUGGUGUUGACUCUUCAUGUUUCUACAGCAACAAAGAACGAGCUUUUUCAUUUAUGAGAAUUAUUAAGAAUAGACUUUGGAGCACCAUAGCUGAUGAAUUCCUUACUGAUUGCAUGAUUCUCCACAUUGAAAGAGAGUUUGCUCAUAAUAUCGAUAAUGAAGAGAUAAUUGAGGAAUUUAAGAUUUUUAAGCCUUGCAGGGUAAAGUUUUAGAUUUAAAUAGUUUAGUUUUGUGUUGCAUUGCAUUUACUUCUUGUUUUUCUGUUAAGCGUUUAUUUAUAUAUAGAUAUGCAUAUUUGAUGGUAAGGCUCAUUACGUCCCCCCUAACUAGAUGUAUCUUUUUCUUCUUUUUUUUGUGCCCCUAAAGUGAUAAUUUGUUAGCCUUUUCCCAUCUGUGUUCUAUAGCUAUGACCAAUCAAACAGAUGAAGUAUAUAUUCAGCAUAUGCUGCAACUAUUUUCCUGAAUUGAUCAAUACAUUAACAAAAUAUAUAGGCUUAUUUCAUGUGUUGCUAGUACUGAAGGUUGUGUUUUAAGAUUUGAAGUCCAGCAGGAGAAGCCGAAAAAUGGUGAGCAGAUUGUGGUCCUUGAGAAAAUGGGGAAAGAUAUUCCAGGGAAGCCAUUUUGACUGCUAAAAGGUGCCAGAGGACUGGGAAUUCUGUGGAUAUCAGAAAUUCCCCUUCUUGUAGGGUUCUUGGAUUUCAAUAUAGGAUGGUAAAAAGUCUUUACAACUUCUGUCUCUUUCUGGUGUAUCUUUACUAAGAUUCUUCUAGAGUUCACCUUAUCAUCGGAAGAUGGCACCAACACCACAUUGAUUUUACUUGAAUAUGAGCCAAUGAUUACCAAAAAAGAAAAAAGAAAAACAAAUUUGUAUGAGAGCAAAUGUAGAAUAAUGUAUGGACAAUUAAUUCAACCUCAAUUAUGUGUUAUGACAUAAUGGAAAAACUCAUAUUCAUAUAAAGAUAUAGACAAUCUAAUCUCAAUUGUGUUAUGUUAAUAAGUAAUUUUUUCGUCCUUAACCAAGUUGACAGAGAAAAAUUAAGGAGUCCCAAGCGCAUUGCUCUUACACCCGCACCGUGUACACCCGCCUUUGUAACACUUUCCCGGCUCAUGGACGCCCGUCACCUGGAGUCAGUAAAAUAUGUACAAUGUAGACAUCAUAAGAAGAAAGCAGCACUAUCACUUACAUCAACCACAAGAAUACCACCUGCCACUUCCUCAUCCUCAAAGUCCUGCAUACCAGUUAUAUAUUGGGGAAGGUUAGAAAAACAGCUGGAAGAAGUACUAAGAAGAAAGGAGCAAUAUCACUUACAUCAUCAACAAUAUGAAUACCACCCGCCACUUUCUCAAGGUCCUGCAUUCCAGUUAUAUAUUGUGAAUUGAAAAUUAGAGAAACAGCUGGAAGGAGAACUAAAUUAACAUGUACCUUUAUGUACAACAUGGUUUAAAAUUCAAAUCACUUUAUGCACCUCUAUAUAGGAACCAUUGGGACCAAAAAGAAGUGUUUUCAGUUCGGAAUGUUGUUCCUGCACAAAAUAUAGAUUAGACCAAAGGCUCAUAUUACUUGCCUAAUGCUCACAUUAAUUCCAAAUUUGAUAAAAAUUAUGAAGAUCAAGCAAAAUCUUUAACACCAUGUUCCAGUGCUGAAGUUAAGAAGUACGCCACUUAAUUAAUGGUGUGCAGAAAGGAAAUAAUACACAGCUGUUUAAUUGUUUUUGCUAGAUGUUUUUCUAACUGUUGGCAAUAUAAUUGGGGUGCAGGCACUUUAAAAACUGGCAGGUUGUAAUGUUGUUCUUGCUGAGGUAAGUGUUACAGUUGCUUUGUGAUUUUGAUGGCUACAUUGCUUGCACAUCUUGUUCUAUCUAAUAUUUUUAAUUUGCAUGUAAACUAUCAGUGGAAGGAGGCAUUAUUUUAGCUAUAGGCCCAUUUGAAGGAUUAAGGUUGAUGAGGACAUUCAUGGAAGACUGCAUUGUUUGCAACGGUUCCCCUCGAAACCCUUAUCCGUCGGGUUAGAGAUGUGGAUCGUAUGGCUGUUUACGGUAAUCUGCGUUAUAUCUCUGGUGACGGCUUUGAGUGCAAGGAAUGAUUUUGGAGCCGUUGCCUUCUUUUCUCUGUGAAUUCUGAAUUCUAUAUGGGGUCGAGAGUAGUAUUGAACAUUAGUAUAUUAAACAAUUUCCUCCGUUCAUCAAACAUUAUUUUGGUAUAUAUAGUUACCAACUUUCCAUAUUAUCCUUACUUUUUCAAAUUUUUUUCUUAACAAUACGAUAUUCUAAACUACUCUAAAAUACGGGGAGGGAGAUUUGAGCUUAGGUGCAACUGGGUGGACACAGCUGCUAAUGCGUAUGCUCCUUAGUUUCAAAUCUAUUAUUUGAUUAGUUCGGGGUUUUAGAGUAUAUUAUAUCAUUCUUAUUUCUUGAUUGACAAAGCAGGUUAUCUUAAUAAUAUAGAUAUUACAACGAAUCUGGACCUGGAGAUGCAUUGUCAUCUUAAUUAAGAUACAAAUAGAUGGGGCAUUUGCCUUCAACACAAUGAUACUUCUACAAGCAUACAAAAAGCACGAACUAGAGUAAAAUUUUACUGGUAAUGCAGAAACUGCCACUGGGCAAAACAAUCCUAAACUUACAGGCCUUCUCAAUCACAACAAGAAAACAAAGGGACAUGAAAUAAAAGAAAGAUUCAAUCUUUAGUGACCUUCUUCCUCUUCGGUAUCUCAAUAGACCUUAAUUAGUGCCACCAAGAACACCCUUAAGCUUCUUUAUCUGAGCAGCAUCAAGGAAAGUAGUCUGCGCUAUCAAUUCGGUAGGUAAGUCAUUUUUGAAGAGUGCAAAGUCCAGAAUCUGCAGACCAGGGCUUGGACUGCUGAAGCUAGGAAAUGCAAGGGCCGGAGUGCCACCUCCAUUCACUUGGAAGUGCAAUAGUCCUUGAGGGAACACCAUAAUGUCACCCUUCUUAAGAGUUUUCAGAUAAGGUGUGUUAUCUGAGGCAACAAACCCGGCAAUUAUUGUCCCUUGGACAACAAGUAAGACUUCUGAAGCUCCGGGGUGAGUGUGAAAGGGGAUAACUCCACCCGGACCCAGGUCUAAACGAGCCAGUGAAAUGCCAAGGCCAUUCACACCAGGAAAUUGGGCAGCAAAUGCAGGGGUGACUGCUGCUUUGAUGAUAUUUGUGGUGUUACCAGCAAUGCCUAGGCCUGAGUACACAAAAUCAUUGAUGGUAACUUUUGCAGGCUUCUUGCAAGAGUAGCCUGCAGGGCCAUCAGGAGCUUUGUAGUCUGCAACACAGAAGUCUUGCACAGAGGCAUGGGAAGAGGAGAGGAGGAGAAAAAAUGUGAAGAAGAUAGGGAAAAUCAUCUUGGCUGAGUGUAGCAGGUAUUUGUUUAAGCCUUUUUGAGGUGUGCUUCUGUAAAGCAAAUUGGGAUUUACAUAUAUAGCGGGAUAAAGUGAAUAUCUUGAACCAUUGCAAUUGGUUGGUAGGAAUGUGCCCAUGUAGGACUCACAUGUGGAAAGAUGUUAAGCAUACGGCAAACGACAGAUUUCAAGCUAGCUGUGAUGCAUGUGAACAUGAUAUUUUCUUCAUAUAACAACAAGAAGCCUCUUUUUGCUUUUGAAAAUGCAGUAACAGCAAGAUCUUAUUAAGAAAACAACUGACCUACGGUUUCAGAGUUAUCACUAAUUAAUCAUGCUGCAUAUCUAACAAGAGAAUCCAAGGUUUUGUUUUAAGAUUAAAAGUCCUUGAAGGUCUGAAAAAGGCACAACAGAUUGCGGUCCUUGAGGUUUGAGCACAUGGGAGAAAGAUAUUAUGGGGGCAUAAGAAGACAUUUUGACAGCUAAAAGGAGGCAGGAAAAUGGGAAUGUGUGGCUAUGAGAAGUUCCCCUUCUUGCAGGGUGCUUGGAUUUCAUUAUUGAGAACUGUAAAGUCUUCUCAAAUUCUGUCUCUUUGUAUGUCUUAGCUGCAAUAUUCCUCUAGAGUUGAGUCAAUGUAGAAACUUAUAUUACAAAUUACACAUCGUGCCUUGAGCUUCAUGCACGUAAUAUCGAUGCCUCAGUUGAAGUUUCUCACUAAUAUGCUUUAUAGCAGUGGAUUUUCAAAACAAUGCCCCUAUAAGUUAUGCUACGUUCUAUUUACCAACAUUUACUGUCAAUUUUUUUUACGCAGAUUUGGCUUAGAGACAAACGAAAUGUGGCGGUAACUUUUCUCUUUUGGUCAUAAUCUGUGGUUAAUUUGAGUUCAGUUACUUCAUUACUCAGUUGCAGAAUGUAAAAAUGAGAAGGAAUCUUUUCUUUUGCCUAGGUCUAAAAUCCUAUAUUUUGCGUGUGUGGUGUUUAUAGAAGCUUUCAAGAUAAGGUUAUGAGCUUUUAGGAUAACCAUCCGCAGGGUGUAGCCUUCCAUCUUUCACUUUCAGCCAACAAAUACAAAAGCUCCGUACAGAAUUUUGUUUGUGAAGUUGUCCAAAACACUAUGAUAUGUGCCACUGAUUCUAAAUACAAAAAAAUAUAGAUACAAUAGUAUAGAAUGAGUUAUAUAUCAACAGUACAUUAUACAAUUCUGAGUGAAGGAAAAAAGGUACAUAUAAAAUUCUUUGCAUGUAAAGAAUCUGAAGAUCAAGAUUUAAACACAGAAUGUCAUGCUUAAAUAGAAAAAAGGUUAUGAGCAACACCCAGAAACCAAAUCACCAAAAGCUAAAUUCAAAUCAAAAACCAGAAAAGGGAGUUCUGCCCAUUUCUCAUGAACCAAAUCACCAAAAGCUAAAUAUGAACUUAAAUGGAUGAGAUUUGAGGAUUUGAAGGAAUGAGAGAAAAUGAUGGGACAGUCCCUCCAAUAAAGCAUGAGGUUCAUGAAAUUUCAUUACAUUAGAAAAUAAAGCUUCAAAGGGGAAAAUGAUAAAUAAGUUUUUGGUAUUUCCUGUUUGUUCAAAAAAAGAAAAAAAAAAGAAAAAAAAAAGUAGGGAUAGAUUGAAUGGUUGAGGAUGAAUGAGAAGAUUGAGCAUUGUGCAAAUCUUGUUUGCAAUACUGGUUUCCUUAAUUAUGUUAAGUGAAAAGUAAUAUGAAAAUAAAUUAAAUAUCAAUCUCUUUUUGUUAUUUAUUGGACAAUGUGGGUAAAGUCAAAAUGUCAAAAGGAAAAAAAGCUCGUAGAAGAAGAAAAAGUAGGUCCAGUAAAGUGACUAGGCAAUAUCGAAUUAAAUUAAAUAUGUAUAGAAAGAAGAAUGGCAAAAUCUGGCAAUAUAAAAAUGAAAAGGAAGAACAGGAAUGAUAGUAUCCACAGAAAUCUGUCCAUGGGAUCUUAAUUACUGCACCUCCUGGGUUAACAUUCCAAAUGUACCAUCUUUUUCCAAACUGUUGCACGCUGAUUUGAAGGGGAAAAUCCCCAUCCAAUUGUUGUACAUCUUCAGCUGUGUCUGACUUGUGUCUCCUCAUAAAAGAAAAUCUGAGGAAAAGUUAAACAAUUAGAAUACAACAUUAAAACCAGGCAAGCAUCAUGGAUUAGUGGUAAGGAUUAAAGUCAGCAAAUCCAGUCUUAAAACAGGCAUACUAAUUGAGUACUUCUGUCAGUAUAUAUAUGGAAUGGACUCUAAAUUUGACCCAAGGUUGAAGUUGUUUAAGGAAAAGAGACCUCAUUUUAUCAUCUCCUUCAGGUAAUUACCUAAUUCCCUCUGGCCACUUGGGGUUGUGUUAGCUUGAUAUACAUUGCUAAUCCCAUUUCUUGGCAACUUUUUGUUGGAUCUAGUGGUUCCCUUUUGAAAUUAUCCCAAGGGAUAAAUUCCCAAUAGUUUUAAUAGUAAAAUAAAUUUUACAGGUUGUUAUUUUCUGGAUUCUACAUUAACACUUUAAUCAUGCUCCUUUGCAUAUCAAUAACAAAUUAAUCUAAUUAGAAACAUUGGACAUUCUUGACAGAAAUUAUUUACUUACGUACACUAAUCCAAUACUAAUCACCAGGCACUGAGUGAUCAAAAGUGAUGGAAGUACUGCAUUGGAUUGCAUUCAUUCUGUCCAUUUUAGCAACCAUUCACAACCAUAUAGGCCUUGUGGAAGCUUCUACUGACAUAGGUGUUUGCUAUGGAAUGUUAGGAGAUGAGCUCCCUGCUGCUACAGAAGUGGUUAAUCUGUACAAAAAAUAUGGCAUUGGCAAAAUCAGACUUUAAUCCAAAUCCUGCAGCACUCCAAGCACUGAGAGGGAGCAAUAUCGACGUCACUCUAGGCAUCCCGAAUGAAGAAAGCCAAUUUGGCAGGAAGUCAAGGUGCUGUGAACACAUGGUUUGCAGCCAAUGUAGAGCCCUAUGUAAAUGACAUUGUCUUCAAUCACAUUGCUGUUGGCAAUGAGGUCAUUCCUGGUUCCUUGGCCGAGCACAUUUUGCCUGUCAUGAAGUAUCUACAGAACGUCAUAAAUGACAAAAACUUAGAUGGUAUUAAGGUGACCACUGUUUUGUCAGGGACUGCAUUAGCAUCGUCAUAUCCGCCUUCAAAUGGCGCAUUCAAACCAGGGGCAAGCAAUGUUAUGAGUGCCAUUCUUGCAUUUUUAUCGGCACGAGGAUCACCCCUUAUGAUCAAUGUGUAUCCUUACUUUGCCUACUCAUCUGACCCUGCCAAUAUACACUUGAACUACGCUCAAUUCACUGCAACUAGUCUUGUGGUUCAGGACGGGGCCCUGAGCUAUUAUAACCUGUUUGAUGCCACGGUGGAUGCUUUUUUUCGCAGCAAUGGAGAAAGCAGGAGGGGGCGGUGUUGGUGUUGUGGUGUCUGAGAGUGGUUGGCCUUCUGAUGGUAAUGGAGAUUUCACCACUCCAGAACUUGCAAGGACAUAUAACAGGAAUUUCUUGAAGCACAUAACCUCAAAGGCAGGGACACCAAAAAGACCUGGUGCUUACAUUGAGGGGUACAUUUUUGCCAUGUUCAAUGAGAAUCAGAAACCUGAAGGUGUGGAGCAGCAUUUCGGACUUUUUCAUCCUAACAUGCAACCUGUUUAUCCUGUGUUUUAAAUCAAGACACACCAAGUUUCAAGUCAAAUUAUGUAUCUAUAAUGUAAUAAAGACGUGAGUGAUCUUGAAAUUUGGGAUAAACAAUCAAUUCCCAAUAGUAUCUAUGUUGGUAGCAAUACAAAAUUGCUUCACCAUUGUUGGGAAAUUGUGAUCUUCUUGAUGCCUUUUAAUUAUAAUUUCAUGUUGUUUCAUUCUCUUUCUUUAUUUUUGUUUUUUGUUUCAGUCUCUCUCGGAAAAUAGCAGAGCAUUUGGAUUCUGGUAAAAUGAAGUUGGAUUUGAGGAAUCAAAGAAAUGAGAGGAAAGGGUAGGAAGAAAAUGAGGGUAUCUUUGAUUGCCUCCUCACAUGUCGGGUUAUUUAAGCCUAACAUUUUGGGUGAUGUGGGAUGUGGGGCGUGGGACGUUGGGCUCAACACGUGGACAUUAUGCUUUGAUAUCGCAUCAAAAUAUGAGCAUGCAACCCAAAACUAAUCGACAAUGAAUUAGUAAUUCAAUUCCCCGAUAUGGGAGGAUCCUCAAAUAAAUGCAGCAUAAGGUUUCAUGAAGUAUUACAACAUCGAGUUUCGUUAACUUGGUAGUCAAGUAUCAUGCUCGAUAUCAUUUCGCAUAUCAAAUUUAAAGUUCGCCUAGAGCUAGUGAUUUUCUUUUUGACACUAGAAAUCCGAUUUUUUUUUUAAUAGAAUCGUUUACUAAAGAAAAUCAAAUCAUUAUAAGCGGUGUAAUUUAAGCCUGAACCAAUAUUUUCAUUUAUUAAAGAAAUCACAGAAGAAGAUACUCUUGCACUCCAGAAUCAAUAUUUUUAUCAUUAUCAAAGUAAUAUCUACCUGUAAAUUCCUCAAGUUUGUCUGGAUUCAUUGUAUCUGCUAGCUGUUCAUAGCUUUGCACUUGUUUUAGGGAUUUAAUUACUGCCAUAAAAUACUUAAUUUUAAGGAUUUAAUUACUGCAGUAAAUUGCUUAAGUAAAUGCAUUUACUUGCUAUUAUUGGCCAACUCUUGUAAAUAUAAAAUCUCCCCUCUAUGAGAUGAAUAAUUCUCAGAAAAUUCACAGCCUUUUCGGACCGACUGCUAGCUUCUUUUAAGGUACGGGUCAUGCUAGGGAGACCAACUUUAGAUACCAACUUGUGUACCAACUCUCUAAUAGAGGUGGAGCCCACCAAUACAAUGGGGUCCCACACUCUAUUAAAAGAGUUGGUACACAAGUUGGUAUCUAAAGUUGGUCUCCCUAGCAUUUUCCUUAAGGUACAUACUGCUAGCUCCAAACUUUUUGCCUUUUUCUUUUUUUUCUUUUUUUUGUCACUCGUUAAUUUAUUUAUGUAUACUACUGCAGGUGUAAAUAUUAGCAGGCACUCCGUAAGCAGAAAGUGAUGGCAGCAGUGCCUUGGGUUGCACUCUUUCUGUCCUUUGCAGCAACCAUCCACAACCAUAUAGGCCUUGUGGAAGCUUCAGUUGACAUAGGUGUUUGCUAUGGAAUGUUAGGAGAUGACCUCCCUGCUGCUACAGAAGUGGUUAAUCUGUACAAAAUAAACGGUAUCGGCAAGAUGAGGCUCUUUGAUCCUAAUCCGGCCGCACUCGAAGCACUGAGAGGGAAAGAAAUUGAUGUCAGUCUAGGCAUUCGAAACGAAGACUUGCCCCAAUUGACAGGAAGUGCAGAUGCUGUGAACUCAUGGUUUGCAACCAAUGUAGAGCCCUACCUGAAUGACAUUGUCUUCAAUUACAUUUCUGUUGGCAAUGAGGUUAUUCCAGGGUCCUUAGGCAUCUAUGUUUUGCCUGUAAUGCAGUCUCUACAGAAAAUUCUCGAUGAUAGAAACUUGGCUGGUAUUAAGGUGUCCACAGUUGUGCCAGGGUCUGCCUUAGGAGUUUCAUUUCCACCUUCAAGUGGCGAGUUCGCACUAGAGGCAAGCAGUGUCAUGAGUGGCAUUGUUGCAUUUUUAGCACAGCGAGGAUCACCCCUUCUGAUCAAUGUGUAUCCCUACUUUUCUUAUGCAUCAGACCCUGUCAAUAUUCGCUUAGACUAUGCUCAAUUUACCGCAACAAGUCCAGUGGUUAAGGAUGGGGAGUUGAGCUAUUAUAACCUGUUUGAUGCCGCAGUUGAUUCUUUUCUGGCAGCAAUGGAAAAAGUAGGCGGGGCAAAUGUCGAUGUGGUGGUGUCUGAGAGUGGUUGGCCUUCUGAUGGGAAUGGAAAUUUCACCACUCCAGAACUUGCAGGGACAUAUAACAGGAACUUCUUGAAACAUAUAACCUCAAACGCUGGGACACCGAAAAGACCUGGUGCUUACAUUGAGGGGUACAUUUUUGCCAUGUUCAAUGAGAAUCAGAAACCUGAAGGUGUGGAGCAGCAUUUCGGACUUUUUCAUCCUAACAUGCAACCUGUUUAUUCUAUAUAUUAAAGAUCCAAGACCAAGCACAUCAGCUAUCUUAGCCUAGUGGUAGUUUUCUUCCCAACAUCGAAUUAGGUCUAAAGUUCGAAUUCCCUCCCUACUCCCUCCCAUCAACUUAGUAUAGUGGUAGUUCUCUUCCCAACAUAGUAUUAGGUCCCAAGUUCAAAUUAUUUUCCCAUUCAUGACAAAUCAUGUAUCGAUAACAUAUCAAUAAAGAGUUAAUUAUGCAUUCAAACAUCUGAAAUCUCUGUGUUUUUUUUUUCUUGUGAGUUAUCUGAUCUUGUAUUUUUGAACAUUACAACAUUGACUAUUUAAGGUUUGGGUUGGUUUAUACACAGUAACCAAAUUAUAUUAUCCUGCUCACUUGAAUGGCUUUGAAAUGAUCUCUGUUCUUUUCUUUUUUAUUUAUCUCUGAACAAGUAAUUUAUUUUUUUAAACCGGGUAAUACAAUAUCCACAAAGAACAAGAAAAGUUUCAAAACCAAGAGAGUGGUUCCCCUUUCCCAGUUGCUUUGCUCUGAAAAGGGUAGUUUGUAUUGUAUGUACCCAACAACAGGUUCUUGGGUGUAGAAAGUCUUCCUGUUGUACUUGGUCAAGGGUGCAUUAAGCUUAAAUCUCAAAACCCAGUCAAGGUUUGAGAUAAAAAGGUGACCAUACGACACUAAAAGCAUCCCAGCAACAAACAUACCCUGUUAAGCUUUUCUUAAAGUCCUAUCUACCAUGAAACCUGUUUAUCCUUUAUUUUAAGACCAGGAGUCCAAGACAGGACAGGUUUCAUGGGAAUUCAUGAGUUCAUGCAGAAAACCAAAGCUUCAUAAGGGAAAAUGGACAACUAAACUUUUGCACCUUCUGUUUGUUCACAACAUUUCCUUAUGGAGAAAAAAAUAUAAAAGGAAUGGUACAAUGAAUAACAUGCAUCCACAGAAAAUUUUCCAUUGGAUUGUCUUAGUUAAUUUGUGCACCUACAUAGAACACAGGUUAGCAUUCUAAAUCAUUCCAAAUUUGCUCUUUUCCAAAAAAGUUCAUACUUAUCUUAACCUCUACUUAAUAUAUAAUGCCAGAUACGUAAACAAAACCUCAUGUAGAUGCUGUAGUUCACCUGUGUAUUGUCUCUCAAUUAGGACAGAACACCUAAAGCCAGACAAGCUUCAUGGACGUAGACAGUAAGAAAACUCCAAGCCAGAAAAUCCAGUCUCAAAAGAGGCACAUUAGUUGAACCUUGUACUUGUUACAUAACACAUUGUUGGUAUAUAUAUAGGAGUGGACACUUAGCAAAUACUCAAGUUAGUUAAGGUAGACAGACUCCAAUUUUCGUUAUCUGGAUCAGGAAAUCUAAUCCUUCCUGCAGCAACCGGUGUGCACCAUAAAGCCGAUCAGUGUUCCUUGAGGUAGUAUCUUCAUGCUAGCUCCACACGUUUUGCUUUCUUGUGUGUCAAACAUUAAUUUAUUAAGUGCACUUAUGCAGGUUUAACAGGCACUCAGCAAUCAGAAAGUGAUGGCAGUACUGCAUUGGGUUGCAAUCAUUUUGUCCUUCGUAGCAGCUAGUCACAACCGUAUAGGCCUUGUGGAAGCUUCAAUUGACAUAGGUGUUUGCUAUGGAAUGUUAGGGAAUGACCUGCCUUCUCCAACACAAGUGGUAAAUCUCUACAAAACAUAUGGUAUUGGAAAGAUGAGGCUCUUUGAUCCUAACCCAGAAGCACUCCAAGCACUCAGAGGAAGCCAAAUUGAUGUCAGUAUAGGCAUUCGAAAUGAAGACUUACCCAGUUUGGCAGUUAGUCAAGAUGCUGUAAACUCAUGGUUUGCAACCCACGUAGAGCCUUACCUUAAUGACAUUGUCUUCAAUCACAUUACGGUUGGCAAUGAGAUUAUUCCCGGGUCCUCAGGCAACUAUGUUCUGCCUGUAAUGCAGUAUCUACAGAAGAUUCUCGACGAUAGAAGCUUGGCUGGUAUUAAGGUGACUACUGUUGUCUCAGGGGCUGCCUUAGGAGUUUCAUAUCCACCUUCAAGUGGUGCAUUCACACUAGAGGCCAGCAGUACCAUGAGUGGCAUUCUUCCGCUUUUAGCACAACGAGGAUCACCCCUUAUGAUCAAUGUGUAUCCUUACUUUGCCUACGCAUCAGAUCCUGUCAAUGUUCACUUAGACUAUGCUCAAUUUACUGCAACAAGUCCUGUGGUUCAAGAUGGGACGUUGAGCUAUUAUAACUUGUUUGAUGCCACAGUUGAUGCUUUUAUUGCAGCAAUGGAGAAAGUAGGCGGAGCUAACGUCGAUGUGGUGGUGUCUGAGAGUGGUUGGCCUUCUGAUGGGAAUGGAGAUUUCACUACUCCAGAACUUGCAGGGACAUAUAACAGGAAUUUAUUGAAGCAGGUAACCUCAAGGGCAGGGACACCAAAAAGACCUGGUGCUUACAUUGAAGCCUACAUUUUUGCCAUGUUCAAUGAGAAUCAAAAACCUGAUGGUGUGGAGCAACAUUUUGGGCUUUUUCAUCCUAACAUGAAACCUGUUUAUCCUGUAUUUUAAAGAUUCAGAACAAAAUAUCCUUCAUGUAUUAAUAAAGAUAUAGUUACACAAACAUCUCUAACAUUUUUUUGUGAGUUUUCCACUUGAUUUGAACUCUACAUCUGAAAAUUACAACACUGAGAAUUUAAGGUUUGGGUUUUGGUUUACAAAGCAAUAAGCAGAUAAAACUACCUCAGAAUCAUGUCGCGUAAAAUCAUGAAACCAAAUUUAACUACAUUAUUUAUACCAAAUAAUACAAUAUCCAAAAGGUAAAAGUACCAUUUCCAAAACACAAAAAUCAGAGGCGGGAGAGUGGUUCCUCUUUCCCAUUUGCAUUGCUCAGAAAAGGGUAGUCUGUGUACCCAACAACAGGGUCUUGCGUGUAGAAAGUCUUCCUGUUAUACCUGGUCAAAGGUGCAUUAAGCUUCAAUCUCAAAACCAAGUCGGGGUUCGAGAUAAAAAGGCGACCAUAAGACACUAAAUCAGCAUCCCUAGAAGCCACAGCAUGAAUUCCAAGCUCCCUAGUGUACCCACCACUAGCAACAAAUGUACCACGAUAAGCAUUUCUUAAAGUCCUCAUAAACACAGCUUCCUCUUCAUCACUGCCAGGUUUGCCAGAUUCGGUUUGGCCAUAUGCUGCGUAACGGGGCUGAGUAACAUGGAGAUAAGUGAGUUUUGAGCCCCAGUCUUGUUGAAGCUUGUUGAGCCUUUCAAUCACUCCAAGGCCUAGGGUAAGUGGAGCAGAGUCAACUGCAUCAAGGUGAUCAAUGGCUGGUGAGAUUCUGACACCAACCCUAUCAGCACCUACGGCUCCAACUACUGCUUGAACCACCUGAAGCAAGAAUUUGCAACGGUUUGCAAGUGAUCCGCCAUACUCAUCUGUUCGAUCAUUGAUCCCAUCUUUCAAGAAUUGAUCAAUGAGGUAGCCAUGUGCCCCAUGAAUCUCAAUUCCAUCAAAACCUACACAUCAUAAGAUUCAAAAUUAAAGCUUACUAGUAAGCACAAAGGUGACAUGCGCUUGACAAAAUCAUUGUAUGAAUUGAGAGAAACCGACCUGCUCUAAUGGCAUUCAAGGCAGCCUGUCGAUAAUGCUCCACCACUUGGAGGAUUUCAGGGGUUUCUAAGCGUCUAGGCUUAGGGUAAGUGGCAUGAGACGCAUCCGGUAAUAGAAUUCUCCACCUCCUCGAAAUGGGAACAUCGGUUGAAGAUAUUGGUGAACCCCCACCAGGUUGGUAAACUACAUCAAUUGACAAAUUACAAGUAAAAAUGGUCACUGAAAUGCUCCAAGCUUUAGACAAAAACUACCAUAAGAAUUGCCAAAUAAAGGACUAGGGUAGUUACCUUCAUGAGAAGCACGACCUACAUGCCAAAGUUGACAGAAAAUAAUGGCACCUUUGGCGUGAACGGCAUCCACCACCUUCUUCCAUGCCUCCACCUGUUCAUCAUUGUAAAUCCCAGGAACAUGUGGAAACCUGCAUCCACCUUAACAUUUAGUAUCACUUUGUAAAAUUCCCACUUCAAAUAACUUUAAGCUAUCUAGCAUAGCAUGUUACGUUGUCGGAUUGUAAAUCAAGUAAAAUAAUAGACCCGUCCGAUUAACUAACAGCCUUAAUUUAUAAUUUGAUAAGUAAAAUCCAGUAAAUUAUAAACAUUGAUUACUUAUGGAUGAGCAAUUAUAGGAAACUAGUUCUAUCUAGUCAAUAUUUGCAAGCAAACAAUUUCUAGUUCUAGUUUACAAGUCAAAGUCAACAUUAUGGACCAAAGUUCUUAGACGAAAAGCUCCUUAAGCCCAAUAGGUCCGAACUACACAAAGUGGGGCCCAACUUGGCAAAGCUUGCUAAUCAUUGAUGAAUACGAAAGAGACACUUAGCAAACAACAAAAAUUACAAAAUUACCCGGCGCCAGUGUCGGAGACCAAAGUGCCUUCGGUGAUCAGAAAGCCGCCGUUGGUUGACCUUUGAGUGUAGUACUCGGCCAGCGCCGGCUGCGGCAAGCCGUUCAACGCUCGGCACCUCGUCAUCGGCGCAAGCACCACCCUGCCAAGGUCAAAUCCGUCAAAACACACCCCAAAGCCAAACAAUUAAAUGAUAAUUAUGCCCUCCCGGAUUUCUCCCCGCUUUUUUCAAAUUCCCGAGGAAAUCGGAAACACCAAGUGGGACCAGAGUUUCAUGUCCGAUGAAAGAAAAAGAGGAGCAGCUAACUCGACUCGAUGCAGCCGCGAAACACUGGAUCAGGUAUGACUGACCUGUGAGACAGAUUGAACUUGCCCAUCUUGAACGGAGAAAAGAGAGUGGGUCCCUGAGAUGAAGCCUCCGCCAUUUUUAGUUCAGACACCGAUCUCAGAUCAAACGAUCGAAAGGCCAGAAAUGAAGUGAGAUCAAAGAAGAAUAAAAGGAGAGAGCUUUUAUAGGAGGAAGCAGUGGCGAUCGGCUCGGCUAUCAAGGGCCGUCUGCGAUCCGACGGCUGUGGUCGGUUUCUGAAGUGUCACCGUGCUAUGAUGCUUUGGCUGCUCUUGUUAGUGGGAUUUUAAUGGUGGUGGUCGGCAACUGUGGGCGGGACCCACAGAGGGAUGUUUCCAUUGCAACGGCAAUGAGAUUCACGUGCGGAUUUAUUUAUGGCCGGUGUCGUUUUGGUUUCUAACUUGGAAUGUUUAAGACGUGUUUGACCGUCGAGCGUUGACUGGACUCGGGUGUUGACGAUGCUGUAGUCUAGUCGGGUCGGGCACCGGCAGGAGAUUGAGUUGGGUUUUGAUUUUGAUAUUGGGCCAGUUACGCUCAUUAUGUCGAAUUUUUAAUGCAUGAGGGGCCUCUUUGGAAAUUGAGAGGCCUGGCCCACUAUUUUAUUCUUGUUGCAAUUGAAACCCCCAAAAUAAAAAUGCCAAAAAUGAGAUGACCAUUAAAAAUAGAAACCCUUGUUGUUUUCUUUUGUAAUGUUAUGUUGUUUAAGAGCACUGGCAGCGCAAGACCCAACCCGGGUAGAAGGGCCCCCAGGCGAGCCCAACACAGCUCCAGCGCGAGGAAGAGAGCCCAGGCAGCUGCUGGGUCCCACGAGCCCGGGCAGGCCCAAAGGCAACUUUAGCCUGGGCUUCAGCCCGAGUUGGAUGACGUCAUGCUGACGUCAUCCCUGACAGCAACCAACUGUAACAAGCCACGUGUCGCGCCAGGGACGCUCCGAUGGAUUUUUUUCCAGAAAUCCGACGGUCCUCGUUUUUUUUGCUAAAAAAAUUGCAAAAAAAUUCUGAAAAAUUCUGAAAUUUUUUUUAAAAAAUACCAAAAAAUUAUGUAUUUUUUCCCUAUAAAUACCUAACCAUUUUAUUUACUUUCCACACAAAAUCUUCAUACAAUUCUUCUCCAUCCCCAAUAUUUUUUACUCUCCACUCACAUUAUUCACUUUCCUCACCAAUUCUCCACACAAACUAUUCUCCUUCCAAUAUUUCUUACUCUUCACUCACAUUUUUCACUUCCCACACCAAUUCUCCAUACAAACUCUUCUCCUUCCAAUAUUUUUUAUCCUCCACUCACAUUUUUCUACUACUUUCCAUUUGUAAAAAGAAAAAAAAAAUCUUAUCUGAAAUAUGAGAUUAUAAUUUUUUUAAAAUAUCUGAAAAUCUUAUCUGACAUGGGACACGUGGUACAAUUUUAGAGGGUGAAAAUGUUAUAUGAAAUCUGAGAUUAUAAUUUUUUUUAAUGAAUAUCUGAAAAUUUUAUCUGGAAUAAGACACGUGGCAAUCGAGAUUCUCAUCCGAAAAUCUUUUCUUAAAACAAUGGACACGUGACAACCAAAAAUAUUAUCCGAAAAUUUAAUUACAAAAGAUUAUCAAAAUUAAUGGUUUAAAGUAUUAAAAAAAUAGGAAAUAAAGUACAAUGAAUAGUAUUUGCCCUAGACUUAGCCCUCAUGGGUGGAACCACAAAUGGCAAGGCUGCCACUAUUCAUGUGAAUAGUGACAGCCCUUGCUUGCCCUUGCCUUAGACUUUGCCCUUAGGGGUGGAGUUGCUCUAAGAGGUGGGAAAUAUUUUCAUCAACAAUUUUUGUAUCCGUCCGGCGCAGUGUGUCCGACACUAAUACAUAACACGAAUUCGACACUAGCAGAACAUAUUUUGUUGAUUAUAAAAAAAUAUAACAUGAAACAAAAUAUAUUGAUAUUGAUAUUUAAUUGAUGCGAUUGCGGUCUGAAUCUGGGACAAGGAUAAGCGUGUAAGCAAUGACUUUUCUUUUUCUUCUGGAUAAAAAUCUACAAUAUCAUUAUCAGUUAUCAUGAUGUAAAAAGAUUGGUAUCCUAUCCAUCCAUCCAUCCAUCCGCUAGAGAGAGACUCCCAAGAGUUGCAAAGGAAGACUGGUUUGAUUAUUUGUGGCCCCGAAGUCAGCAGCGAGCAGUUUGCCCUUUUGGGAAGAUGUACAUGCAUGGGAUGAAAAGUCAUAAAUAAACAGCACACCUCUGUGAUUUGACUGUUAAAUUCAAUUUCCAUUAUAAAUUAAAUAAAUAAAUUCAAUUGGGAUUCAAAGUCAAUUAAGAUUGGAUCCAAGACUUGCACAAAAAUUGAUAUGAGUAUAUUAUUGAAAAACUCCAUCCUUCUAGAUUUUUUUAUUUUUUAUUUAUUUUUUAUUUUUUCUUUUGAGUCAGUCUUUAUGUUCGAAUCUCUAUUGACAGUGUAGAUGAGAAAAUCUUUUUCUCCAAUAUCACUUAUAUAUAUGUAUAUAAUAUAAAAAACUCAUAAUUAUGGUUGGUUAGAUUCUGUCUUGCAUAGAUCAAUCUCUAUCCCAUAUUUAUGGUAAAGCUAUUUUCAUUCACAUGCACUCCUCAAUGGACAAAUCAUAAUAAUUUGCUUUCUUGCAAAUUUGGUUUGUCUCUAUUUUGCUAUGGUGUUGUUGGUAGGUGCAAUUAAGAAUGUUGAAAGCUUAAAACAGAUAAAAAUGGCUAAGGUACAACCCACAGUGUUUUGUUGCCCUAGCAAUGAUGUAGUCAUGUUGGUGAUCAGACUUGGAGCUAUCUCAAACUGAAGUGGUGUGUGGUCCCCACUCCUACAACAUGAGUAGGAAGGGAACAACUUUGUCACACCCUCAUCAUACCACACACAUCCAUGUCCAACUCUCUAAAUCAUGAAAAAUAAAAAAGGAAAUACAAAAAAUACCAACAAAAAAAAUUAUGAGUUAAAAUAUAAAUACCCUUUGAGUGAAAAGAAAAAAACCCAUUGAGCCACGUGUCCCGGUACCACUGUAUGCGGUGCAAGCGUCUACACCUCACCAACCCCCCGCUACGUCCCAAAAAUCUCCACUGAAGAAUGGCGCAGUGCGCGCCGUGUGUACCAGAUAGAGAGGGCAACGCCGCUUGUAAAUAUAUUAUUAUUAUUAUAAAAAAAAAAACUACGAAAAUUCGACAAAAUAAAUAUAAAAUUAGGAGCAAGGCGGGGCCCAGUGGGAUGCACUGCAUAGGAUGCCCAUCGUACAUCUGUUACCAAACAGGCAGAAAAAAGGGUACUCUUUUGUGAGUCCAAUUUUUCUGUUUCUAAUUUCCAUGUGCACUCCAUGUUUCCUAUCUUAUGUUUUUUUACACCAAUCUCUCCACUAAUUUCUAACUUCAACACUGUUAACUUAAAUUAAAAAAACAAAAAUUAAACAGCCGCCACCGCCCCCCACCCAUCCAACAUGGUCAGCCAUCCACCCCAUCGGCGCCAAGAAGGAGAUGAGAAGAGAUGUGAGAGGAGAGGGGUUGCCGAUGGUGGGGUUGGGUAGGGGCUGUGGUGGCUGUUGGGUGUUUAUUUUUCCUUUAAUAAUUAACUUUUAUUUUGUUAAUUUUAUUUAAAGUUAGAAGUUAAUGAGUGACAAGUGUCAAAAAAUUAGAUGAAAAACAGGAUGGCACAAGGAAAUUGAAAUAGAAAAAAAUUGACCAGAAUAGUAAAACAGUGCUAUCCCUUUUUACGCAUGUUUCUCCAAACAGACCUGUAAAUAAUCCGGAAUAAGAAAAAGUUCACACCGUUACGCGCAAAAACACAAACCAAGCAAACAAGGAAAAAAGCAACUGCCGUUACUCUGACCGUCCCUCGUUUUUCUUCUUCGCAGCUUUUUUUAUUCUUUUUUCGACGCACAUGAGGCCUCUCUAUAUAGAGAUAUAUAUAUAUAUAUAUAGUUAAAUGAUUUAUUUUCUAAGUUUUGGUUCGUAAUUUCAUUUAAUUUUUGGUCCGGAAACUCUUCGCAAUUAAACUAAUUGAUUAAAGUUUAAAGCGGAUUAAUUUAUCACCAUCAUCCUCGCUCUCUUCUCCAUUUCGUUUCUUUGAGGAGAAGCAGAAGAACGAAAGCUUUGUUAUGGCCGCCGGAGAUUUCUCUCUCUGAAAUUCUUUCUUGAAUUUUAAGGGAAUUCAGAGGUGGGUUUAUAGUUUUGUAUUUCUCUGAGUUUAUUGUGUGCCAUGUUCGAUUUUCUAUAUUCUAAAGUUGCAAUCUUUUCCUUUUUCAUCCUGAUAAUAAAUUUUCAAUUUUACAAUAAAUAAUUGGUCUGCUAUGCUUGAAUUGUAUGGUAUCUUGUUGAACAUCAUCCAAUAUAGCAAGCAAAAAGUGAAAUUUGUUCUCUUUCUCUCUUAUAUCUGGGGGUUCAGGGAGCUUGUGUAACUGAAACAGCUGGAUAUAAGAAAGUUAACUGAUCAAUUUUAAGACAAAAAGAAUAACGUUUAAAGUCUUUAGCUUUUGAGUUAACAUCUAGCUCAAGAUUAUUAAUCUUUUGUUUCAAAUUGUUGGAAAAUCAUAUAUCUUUGUCUAUGUUUAUAUGUUCAUGUGUUGGAAAUUCUUGUAGAGUUCAGGAAUACUUGUAAAGUUAAAAGCAUGGUUGCAGUGAACAUCAAAGGUUCAAGAUUUAAGUAGGAAUAGCAUGAAAUUAAUUGUUCCAGAGUUCCUGCUUUGAAUUAUAAAGUAUCCCUGCUCUAUGUGUUCACAGUUUCCUGUGUUAAUUGUACUUGUAGCGGGACAGUCUUGAUAAUUAGAAAUAUCAAUGGUUUUGCUAAUGACUUGUAUUGUUGAAGCUUUGAAUCUUUGUUAAUGUUGAAUUUUUUGAUAGGAGGGAAGCCUUUUUGUAUGGAUAAAGAAGAAGAAACUGGUAGCCCUAGUUGGGGUGCUUCGUUUUUCGCACAAACGGAAGAUGUUGCUAGAGCAGUUGCUGCUGUAGCAGCCGCUGCUACUGCCACUCAUUCUCCGAGGCCAUCUGUUGUAUAUUCAUCAAACGAUGAUGGUGGUAAUAGCCCACUUAAAAGACUACAACGCCAUGUUACAAAUGUGCUAAAAGGUUUCUCACAUCCUCCUGAAGUGAAACGUGGAACCUACAAUCCAGAAGUUUUGACUAGCCAGAAGCGCCAAUGGGCAAGCUUUCAGUUGCAGUACUUGGUAUGCAAUUUUGUUAAUUGGUUGCUUAUUUUAUUUCUUAUUUGUGUAUGCAAUUCAGAAAUUGAUUAAUCAAGAAUCAAAGAUGAUUUUUUGUUUUAUUUUUCUUGUUUACAUUGGAACAUCUUUCACGUUCAACAGCUAUACAGCUAUUUCUAAUUACAGUUGUUACUUCAUAUUUUUCUUUUAAAAUUUUUAGAAUAGAACAAUUUAAGGAAAAAUGACAAUUAUAUAUGCUCGCUGUGAGUUUAAGGGUCAUAUGAUACCCUGAGACAUUUUUGUCUGAUAGUUCAGCGGUCAUAUGAUAACCUGAGACAUUUCUUCUUAAAAGUUCAGGGUUUCUGUAUUGUUAGUUUUGAAAUACAUUCACAUAUGAAACAAAAAUUUCAUCCAAAGAGAUUCUGUAACACCUCUGCUAUUUAAGUGUGCAGGAUCAUAGGUCUUUAAAGCUGCCGACAAGGCUUUUCGAGAGCAUGGUUGUUUUGGGGCUUCACCCAAAUUGUGAUGUUCAGGCACUUCAAAGGCAAUAUAUUGCAAGAAAGCAUGAGGGUUUAGGAAGAUUGCGCAGUUCACGUAGUAGUCAGAAUUUCUCUCGUGUGGAACCCAAUCUUGAACCUCAGGUGGGGAUUCUUGUUGCCAAAUAUUCAAUUUGUUUGCAUAUUGACGCUUGCAAGCAAUUUGAGUAGUGGGUAUUAAUAUUCAUUUCUACUUCCAGGUGUUAUUUGUUUAUCCUCCGGAAAAGCAGGUGCCUCUACAAUACAAGGAUCUCCUUUCAUUUUGCUUCCCUGGAGGCGUAGAGGUAAGGUGUUCUCUUGAUGGAUGUUUUGCCACUUGUUCUGUUUAAUUGAUCAGUUUAAUUUUAGGGAUUUAAGAUGGAUGAGCUUUUUCUUUUUUUCUCCUUAAAUCUAUUUAAGAGGAACUCCUUUUGUAAAGCUUAGGUUACAGAGAAUGAUUAUAUAACUUAGCUUGAUCUCGAUGGUAAUAUUUACAAGGGUAAAAUACCUGAGCCUUUAAAUAUUGGAGAUGUUUACCUGAUAGGUUUGAAUGUAUUGUGUUAAUGUCUGUAUUUGAGAAGAAUUUCAGAUAACAAAUAAUUGAUAUUCUGAAUUAGUAUGCUUAUAUUGCUAAGGUUUUCGCAGCUUUUAUAUGGAGAACUUCUUCCGUUUAAGGAAAGUGGGGCCAGUUGUGUAAAUAUCAUAGUGCAAUAGCAACUUGAGUUUAGCCUGAUUUCUUGAUCUUCAGUUAAAUAAUAUCAUAGGCAAUAAAAGAGACGUUAUAUCAAGUUUUACUUGAUUAUGACUAGUACUUGGUGAGAGAUGUUAUUUUUGUCCUAUGUGCAGAUAUUGAUUUGUCUUGUUAAUAUUGUGUAUUUGUUAGUUAAGAUCUAGUUAGUCAUUAUGUGCUAAUAUUAACACCUUGGAUGUGAAUGGCUUCAGGUUCAUGCUGUUGAGAGAACUCCUUCUAUGAGUGAGUUGAAUGAAAUUCUUUUGGGGCAGGUAUAGUGCUACAUUAUGCUCCCAUAAUGUUGUCGAUUAAUGAUUAUGGACACUUAUAUUGACUAUGAUGAUGCUUAUUUGCAGGAGCAUUUUAAACGGACCGAUCUGUCCUUUGUAUUCCGGUUACAGGUAAAUUAUAGCAUGUUAUGUCUCCAGGAUUCCUUUUUCCUUGGAUUUUCCCCUGAUAUGUUUCAAGAUUUCUUUAUAACUUUAAUUCCCUGUGGCAGUUUCCAUUUGACUUAUAAACCCCUACACUAGUAGUGCUGGAUGAUAGAAUCAUCACUGCAGCCUGAAAAUUAUAAUUCAAACAACUUUUUGUCUAGUUGACUGCAAUUAUUAUUUGAGUUGUAUUUGUUCCCACAGAGAAGAAGAUUGGUAACAAAAUGCGAAGCAAAUUUAAGAGGAUUGAUUGUCUUCGUUAUCUUUGAUUAGAUUUAUAUAUGUUUAAAAUGUCAUUAAAAUUAACAGAUGUUAGGUAAGCCUAUUUCUACUUCAUGUGUAUGAACAGUUUAAUUUUUAGUUGUGAAUUAUGCUCAUUUCCUGGAUGACCCAUUUUGUACAAUAUUGGUUUGAAGGUUGCUGAUGACUCAACAUUGUAUGGAUGCUGCGUGUUAGUGGAGGAGCUAGUGCAAAAACCUUCUGGAUUGCUUUCCAUGAUAGCAGAGAAACAUCCUUCUCGCCCAUCUUUGAGUCGCCAUAUAUUAACCACUAAGAGAUGCUAUUGCAUUCUCUCAAGGGUUCCCUCAUUUGAAUUACAUUUUGGUGUAUUGAAUAGGUGUGUUUAUGUCAUAUUGAAUGCUUAUAAAAAACAUAUUUAUCUCAGUGAUUUGCGUUUUUCAUUUUAACUUUGAAAUGUAUUCUAAUCCCCUCUAGACUUUCGUAUAAUUAAUGUGUUCCUCUGCUAUCUAAUCAUGCAUGAAGUUGAAGAUCGUAUUAUUAAAUUGUCUGAGAAAAAAAAAAAAAAGAGAUUCAUUUCUUAGUUCAGUGAGAAAAAAGAAAUUGUAGCAACUUCAAUAGAACACAUAAAAGCUUUUAACUACCAGUUUAUCACAAGAUCCAAAUUUAUUGAGCGACUGGUGCAUGGUUUUGUGUGAGGGGAAUGUGUAUGCUCCACUGUUUGGCCCCAUAAUUUGACAUUCUUCUUUUACUAUUUGAUACCAACAUAUAACUUUGCAAUUCAUCUGUUGCUCAACUUGACUAUGUUUGCUAUUCCCCUGUAGCAUCUUCACAGAAGAAAGGUUGGAACGAUUAACGAAAGGUAUUGAUCUUUUAGAUUUAGAAACCCCAAAGGAUUAUGGCAAUGGCGAAAUUUUAGAAGAAAAUACAGAAGAAACUUCACACAGCGUAUCACUAAGUAGUAGAACUGAGGAGAACAUGGUGAAUAGAACAGCAGAGUUUUCUCAAUCAAGUUUAAAAGAUUCUUCAUUUGGGAGAGUUGCAGAUAAUGGCAUUCACCUAGAGAAUCAAAUGCUUGAUGGGGAUUUUAACUUGUUGAAGGGAAGGGUGAUUGAAAACGUUGUUGUUCCAAUUGAUCCUGAAACCAAGACGGCCAGUUCCAAGAGAGAAUCUGAUGUUGCAAAUGCUGAAGUUUCUGAGGUCUAUGUUGAUGAUUUCUCUGCAAACAAGCAAACUGUAGAAAGGCGAUUACCAAACGCUGUUCUACCUCUCCUGCGUUAUUAUCAGUAUGAAAGCUCUGAAUCUUCCUCCAGGUAGAUCAUUGUUGUUCUUUGGUGCCUUUUCACUUGUAUUUCAUGCUUUUUAUUACUUGCAUUAGUAGUUAUUAUCUUUUCUCUCUCUCACUAAUUCUUGGAGCAGAGAAUUGCACUUUUUUCUUUGAGCUACUUCAAGUUGCUGCACUCAUGCCAUUUAUUAGUGUUUUAUGCAGUUUUCAGGGCUCUCCCAGCGAGGACAGAAAUUUUAGGAGUGAUGUUGAUGAUACAGAGACGGAAGAGGCAUCUUUCUCUGGCCAAGAUGAUUCUGACCUCAUUGAUAUUCUUGAAUGGGCUAAGGUGAAAAAUGAACUUUUCCUUUUUGGAUCUAGAUAUGAUUCUAAGCUCUUUGUAACAAGAAUCUUGUGCCCAGGCGUUCUCUUGACAAAUUUUUCCCAAAUUUUCAGGCAAACAAUCAUGGAUCAUUACAGAUAAUAAGCGAGUACUACCAAUUACGUUGCCCUGCUAGAGGUUCCACUGUUAGAUUUCAUCCUUUGGAGCACUUGCAUCCCUUGGAAUAUCAUAGACCAGAAACAACCGUUUUACAUAUUGCUGGCUCAACCAUUGAUUUGAGAUCGUGCAGUACAAGUCUAGAAUUUGCUGAGGUAGAUGGUGAUGAUAGCUUUAAGAAACUUUCCAAUUUGAUAUGUGGUGGAUUUGGUUGAACUUUUGAUUGAUUAUGUCCCGGUUCCAGACAUGAUUAAUCAUUCACAUUGCAUUGCUGUUGAUUAUUAUUAGGCACAGGGUGCACUCUCGGUAGAGGAGGAAGCAACUGCAUUAUCAGUAUGGGCUAUUGCAUGCAUAUGUGGCUCCUUACGGCUUGAAAAUGUUAGUUAAUGGCUCAACAUCACAUGAGUUCUACAGACUUCAUUGAUUAUAUUGUUAUCUUUUCCCGUUUCUUGGAACUAGUUAAUAGCUUGGCCAGUGCUAUUUAAAGUUUCUCAUAGGUUAACACUGUUUUGUUGAAAUAAUUUUUUUUAAUUAAACAAAAUGGAUUUAUUUGUUUUCAACCAACAAGGUAAAUUCGUUUUGUUAUGCUGACAGUUGAAACUGAUAGUGGCGUCUACACUUAUAAGCUAAUUGAAACUGUAGAAUUACUGCAUGAGUAAAACUGGCUCCAACAUUUACAACAUUUAUGAAGCGGGAAUCAAUUUAAAAUCUCCUCAAAGGAAUCAUUAAUUACAAUGUUGUAAGAGUGGAAUGAUAUCCUGCGUAUUAUUUGUGGGUAUUGUGCAGUGUCAGAAUGUUUUCGUUAGUAUAUUAUAUUGAAUGUACAGUUAUAUGAAUGCAUGUAGAUUUGUGUGUGCCUGCUUCAUGUCUGACUUUGGAUUAUUGAUUCUCCUCAUACUUCGCAGGUAUUAACAUUGUUUGCAGGAGCACUGUUGGAGAAGCAGAUUGUAAUUAUUAGUUCCAAUUUGGUAUGUAUUAUAAAUUAUAUCAAGUUUAUAAUGUUUUGAUGAAGAUUAUCAAUCUGAUGCAUGUAUUCUUUUUUACUCGAUGUAAAUUUUAUCAGAGAAAUUUAUUGGAUUUAUUAACAUCUUGCCAAAUGCAUGUUCCAAAACAGAACUGUAUAAGUAUCAACUGCUGCUUAUUUCGUAACAAGCUGAAAAAGCUCAACCCAAAUGAAUUUAGUUGGAGGUAGUAAAGAACUGUAUAAGUUAGCCUCAGGCUAUAGGUGCAAGUUUGAACUUCCAAAACAGAGUGGCUCCUUUCUCAACAAGUCCCAGCAAGCGAGGCCUAAGGACCAGUUACACCCAUUUAUGUUGUUUAUUAGAGAUAGCUUGGCUUAGGAACUUUUUUUGAGUGACACUAGUGUUGCCAUCAUUAUUAGAUCGUAGUUUUGUUUAUUUAUCAAAAGAUCGUAUUGUUACUGUUUCAUUUGCUUAUGUACUUAUUUUUCGGUAAGCUAAUAUUUUAAUAUGGGUGUGGACUGUUCCAUUAUUUUUAAAUUUGUUCUAAUAAUUUAGUUCUUUGACUAAGAAAAAAGAUCUACAAAAGAAUUUACAUCAAUGCUUUCUGAUGUACAGGGUAUCUUAUCUGCCUCAGUAUUGUCAAUUAUCCCUCUGAUCCGUCCCUACCAGUGGCAAAGCCUGCUAAUGCCGGUAUGUUUUCCUUCUAGCCUACUGCCUGUGAGAUUUGUCCCAUGAGAAGUUACUUUUUUUAAACAUAAUAAUUUCAUUGCUGUUUUCAUGUGAAUAACAAUGUGCAUAUACUUUCUAGGUUUUACCAAAUGACAUGCUGGACUUUUUGGAUGCACCUGUCCCUUACAUAGUGAGUUCUCAAUUUGUUGGCUGUUAUGCCUAUUAGUGCCAUGGAUUAUGAAUUCAUGUUUGUUGGUUUAUCUGGACUCUGAAUUUCCUCAAGUUAUUAGUUGAAAGCAAAAUUUUUUAAUCGUUCACCAUAUGAUUUAAUCCUUAUCUGUAGGUUGGUGUGAAGAACAAAACAAAUGAAGUGCAGUCAAAACUAGCCAAUGUAAUUCUAGUUGAUGCAAACAAGAACCAGGUCUGUUGUUUUUUAAGCAGUUGUAUUUUUCUACUUAUAUUGCAGCUCAAAUAUGUUCAGACUGGUUAUUAACCGUAUGCCUUACAAUAAACAAAGCAGAAAGUUUCUAUAUAUUAGUUUACCAUUUCCCAUGCUUAUGUAUUAUCUAGUUUUUUGGAAUGGCUAGUAUUUAUCAAAAUGCAAAAUAUUCCUCUAAAAACAAAUAAAAUGCGAGUGUCUGAUCCUUUUCCCAUUGUGUGAUCUAAUAGGUGAAGUCACCAACACUACCUCAGUUACCACAACAUAAGGAAUUAUUUUCAUCCUUAAGUCCUUAUCAUGCAAAGCUUGUGGGAGAGAGUUUUUUGGCUAGGAAAAGGCCAGUGUAUGAGUGCACAGCUGAACAGGUGUGUUCUGCUUUGUUCUUUUUUGUCUGAUUUCAAAGUUUUUAAUUAUUUACCAUUAUUCUCAUGUGUUUAUUUGCCGCAUGUAGGUUGAAGCUGCCAAGGGUUUCCUAUCAGUGUUAAGAACUUACUUGGAUUCUCUGUGCUCUAACCUCCGUUCACACACAAUUACAAAUGUACAGUCGAAUGAUGAUAAGGUCAGUUUGUUGUCCAACUGUGAUAGCUGAAAUGCUGUAUAAGGAUAUUUAGGUUUUUUUGACCUUCUUUGGAAUGAUGAGUGGUAAAUAUAAUCUUCCAGAAAAAUGGCCAGGCACACACUCACAGACACACUGCUAGUCAUUAGAUAAGCUAGACUUCACUAGUAAUGAUGAUUGCUGUAAAAGUUUAGGUAAUAUAUGUCCUGAAACAAAUAUCACUAUAUUAUUCUGUUACACUGAGGGUGCAAUGUUGGCUAAUGUUAUUUUUCAAAUUUAUUUUUGUAUGCUUUACUUGUGAUGGACUAAGUUCUGUUGAAGUGUCAAUGGAACCUCAGCAUAAUACAUCCUUAUAUCAUUCACUUCGUACCUUCAGUUAUGUUGAAUUGAUAAGUGCAGAUCAAUUUGUCAAUUCUUUUGAAUGUGAAAUGCUUGCUCAUAUAUCUAGUGACAUUCAUAUGUGAAUGCACAAUCAUAUGGUGACUUGUCUUGGAAGAAUCCAAAUGUAUUGCUGCUGAUCUGACACUGAUUUUCUUGUAAUUAGGUAUCCUUACUUUUGAAGGAGAGUUUCAUCGACUCGUUUCCUAGUCGUGAUCGACCAUUUAUGAAGGUGUGUUCCAUGACAUAAUUUUCUUUUGUUUCUCUGAGUUAACUGAACAGCCCAUUGGCUUGAUCAUUCUAUAGAAUUAGCUAGCUGUUGGGAUUUUAGUCUUAUGUAUUUCCUUAAGGUCAUUAUUAUUGUUAUCUUAUUUUUUAUUUUUGCCUAUUUUCUGAAAGUAGUUUAUAAUAGAUGGUGUUGGUUUCUGUGUUCUGUGUUCGUAUUUGGAUGAGUGUAGUAUAGGAUGUCACGCUGAAGGCAUCUAAGUUUUUAGUCGAGUCAUGUAGAUAAAUCACUGAUUUAACCUCCUUUUUCUCUUCGUUUUUGAAAGUGACUUGUAAUGAUUCUUACUUCAAUGCUUACUCGGGAUGCUCUUUAAAUUGUAAUACAGCGGAAAGCAUACUGAUGUUUCCUUUUCUCCCUAAAUGCUAUGCAGCUUUUUGUGGACACUCAACUCUUUUCUGUACAUACGGAUCUUGUUCUCUCAUUCUUCCAGAAGGAAUAGUCCUAAUCUGAACAUACGCCAUGCUGAGGUCUGGCAGUGAGUUAUAUUUUCCUGUUGUAACCUGAACGUAAGUUCGGUAUGAUGUCAAAUUAUUAAGUGACAUAAUAUUCAAGAACUCAAUCUGGCUUCUUGAAAUGGCACUUCUCUUCCCCAAAUGAAAGUUGCCUGCUUCGCAUCGCGGCAUUCUGUAUCAUGAUGAACUUGUAUUCCAGCAUAUGAGAGAACUCGCAGAAUUCUGGUAUCCCGCUUGAAGUGUAAAUAGUAAUUUUGUUUUAUUUACUUGAGUUAGUAAAACAUGACUGUUUCACCGUUCCGAUUUAAUAAAAAUUUAGCGGUUGGUUAUUGAGACAUACCCGCCUUAUGCUGUUGUUCGGUGUGGCAGGCUGGUGCUUAACUUCUUGAGGAUAUGCACAUUGGUUGUGUGGGGGCCUUUUUUUUUUUCUUUUUUUUUCCCCCCCGGAUCUUAAACUAAGUUACUUUGAAUGGUGCUAACUGCAACAUUUCCUAAAAUCCUGCAAACAAAAAUAUACAGAACUUUUUCUCCACCAAUUCGACUUUACGAAGUCUUGAAAAUUUUUAGGUUUCCUGGUUAAGUUUCAUGCCAAAUCUCAUGUAUAAUUCUUGGAAUGCAUUCAGAAAUUUUACAGAGUAAUUAAAAAGAAAGAAUAUCAUACAACUUUUGAAUACAGUAACAGUCCAGGUUAAAAUACAUUAACUUGGAGGGAAGUGAAAAAAACAAAAAAAGGGUGUCUUUCAACCAGUGGUUGGGGAUACUUGAAGGGAUGUUUUUGGCUCAAGUGGGAUCAAUAUAAAAUAAAAAUAAAAAAAGGGGAAAGGUCGGUUUGCAUUGCAUGUGUUUCAGCCUGCCAGGUGAUCCAAGAACAGUGCUAGACAAUACCCUACUUGUGCAAUUUCCGAACGUACAAUACAAGAAUAGUUUCAGGGGCAAAUAAAUGCAACCAAACAUUAGGAACUCUCUUAAAUACUUUGGUUUUUUUGUUUUACUUUUAACACCCCAGCACCACCACCACUUUCAUUGAAUUCAGUUAUAUCAUCACUAUGAGGGUCCUAAUAAUGCAAGUCUUGGUCACCGCCAAUUCAAAGAUGGCCUUCUUCUAUUUUCAAAGUCAAUAUAUAUGUCUCUAUUAUUCUCAAACCCCCAAGUCAAAGUAUAACUAUAAGAGGAAAAGGAAACGCAGAGAAUAUAUUUUUCUCUUAUUUGUUUACAACUUUGGUCUGAGUUGUGAUGUAAUCUAAAUCAGAGAAGCAGUGUCUUCUGUUUACAAGUCUUGAACUUUGACUUGUUCCCUUGGUUGGUCAGUCACUUCACUUGUAUGCUUGCAAACCACUUAAGAUUAAAAAUAAAAAAAGUUUACUUGUAUUGUAUGCUUGCAAGCCACUGAUGAUCAUGGGCCUGCCUCCUGCCACAGGCCAAGGAAACCCAUUUAUUGAAGACUUGGAGUGAAAAGUUUCAUGUAUUUUAUUGCUCUCAAGUUCUCAACAAGGUUAGAGUUCUUCUGAUAAAAGUUUAUAACUUUAUAAGCUAAAGUGAACUGAGAAAAAAAGAAAACUCCUGUCCUUUGGAUCAGUAAUGACCCUUAAUCAUAAGGUUCAAAUCAACGGUUAAGAUCUGCACACUAGUUUAUAAUGCAGGAAAAAAAGAAACUUGUCUGAAGAAGAAGAAGAAAGAGAAGAAGACAAAGCAACCACAUGAGCAUUUGAAACAAAGAAAGCAAGCAAACAAUAAGAAAUAUAUAAGAAUAAUAAGUACAGUGAGGGUUGCUGUAUUUGAUCAGAACCCAAAAGCGGUCCUGCUCUGAAUCACUGGUUUUCUAAAUUUCCGAAAUUGAAAAAAAGGCCAGAGUGUAAGUGGGGGGUACUGGGGUCUGAGGUAAAGGAACAGAAAAAGUAAAAGAGUUAGUAGCAGUAAAAGCUCAAACCGUACAAUCUUCUGCUCACACAGGCAUUAGCUUCAGAUACCAACUCUAUAGUCUCUCAGACAGACAGACAUAAUAACACUGAAUAAUUAAAUAAUCUUUUUUCCUUUUUGUUUUUGUUUUUCAAUUUUUUUUAAACAUUUACAACUUCUUUAUUCACUUCCCUUUAGUUUAUGGAUUUCUGUAGAGUUGUCAGAGACAAGAGCUGCCACAGAGGCAGAAGCUUAGCUGCAGAACCAGAAGCAACAGAGGUGCAGUCAUAAUAUGAGCACAGAGGAGAGAGAGAGAGAGGAGGUGGCAAUGGCAUGCAGCACUGUAAUCAGAACCAUUAGUUUUAUCCAUGUACAGAAGAUUCUGCAGCUAAAUGGUCCCUGAAAUAAAUAUACCUACUCUACUCUCUCUGCUCUGCUCUACUCUCAAACUCAAAGGCCCUCCCUCUCCCUUUACUAAUAAUAUUGAAAUUGAAUCAUGCAAGUGCAGCCCAACCCCAUCCUGUUUCUCUCAUCUUUUCUCUCUUUCACUGCUCUGUGAAGUCUGAGACAACCAAGUUUCAUAUUUUUCUUUCCAAUUUGUUCUUUGGAGGAAACUUGCUUGCUCUUUCUUUCUGAUUUGGAAUUUCCCUGCCUCUUCAAUAAUAGUAAUGAGUGGGAGAACCAGGUUUCCUUUUACACCGUCUCAGUGGCAAGAGCUUGAGCACCAAGCUCUUAUCUACAAGUACAUGGUUUCAGGCAUCUCCAUCCCACCUGAUCUCCUCUUCUCCAUCAAAAGAAGCUGCUUGGACUCUCCUCUGCCUUCAAAGCUCUUCUCACACCACCCUCCGCAUAGUAAGCCAACUAGUACAACACCCCCCCCUUCCACCCCCCCUCCCCCCUUCUCUCUCUCUCUCCGCAUAGUAAGCCAACUAGUACAACACCCCCCCCUUCCACCCCCCCUCCCCCCUUCUCUCUCUCUCUCUCUCUCUCUCUCUCUCUCUCUCUCUCAUGUGUGUGCGCGCUAAGAAUGGAACUUUAGAGCUUUUUGAAUGAAUAAUAUUUUGGGUUUUGCUUACAAGAAGGUUCCUUGUUAUGUUUGUGUGGAUUUUGCAGUUGGAUGGAGCUGUUUCCAGAUGGGUUUGGGGAGGAAAGUAGACCCAGAGCCAGGAAGGUGCAGAAGAACAGAUGGGAAGAAAUGGAGAUGCUCAAAAGAGGCAUUUGCUGAUUCAAAAUACUGUGAGAGACACAUGCACAGAGGCAAAAACCGUUCAAGAAAGCCUGUGGAAGUUUUCAAAACACCAAUUACAACAAACUCAAACCCAUCAUCAUCAUCAACACCAACAACCAUCUCAUCAAUCACCUCCAAGAACAACCCCCCUUCUACAUCAACCGCAACCUUCCAUUCCCUUUCUUCAUCACUCUCAUCACUGUCCUCUGACUCCCACCACGCUCAGCCCAACCACUCUAGUUACAAUACCAAUCUUGAUCAUCACCCUUUCCUCUAUCAUCACACAUCUUCUUCAAGGCCUCCUGGAUUUGGUUUGUCACAUCAAGAAAGAAAUACUUCCUUGCUUCUGGACUCUGGUUCUUAUCCCCAAGCCAGCUCAGAAUACAGGUUUGUCUAGAAACAACUCAUAAAGUUAUGGUACUUAUUUUCAAUGUGUUUUAUGUUAUUUCUUUGAUUAUUUAACCUGUUCGUGGUUAAAAUUUUGUUUUGUUUUUUGUCAUUCUGGGAGAAGAAAUAGGUAUGUUUAUGGGCUGAAGGAGGAGGUGGAUGAGCAUGCAUUCUUCUCAGAACCUUCGGGGUCUGUGAGAGACUUCUCUGGCUCUUCAUCUAUGGAUGACUCUUGGCAGUUCACACCACUGACAAUGAGUACUUGCACUUCUUCAUCUUCAAAACAGAGAAGCUGCUCUGCUUUACAGAGUGAACACUCUCACUUGCAGCUUCAGAGCAAUAUCACUCCUAAACAGCAGAAUUACUAUGCUUUGGGUAGUGACAUGAAAAUGGACAGAAAUGAAGGAACCCAGAAAACCAUUCAUCGCUUCUUUGAUGAGUGGCCCCUGAAAGACAAAGAUUCAUGGCUUGACUUGGAUGAUAAAUCAUCAAACAGUGGAUCAGUUUCAAACACCAGGCUCUCAAUCUCCACUCAUGACUUCCCCAUCUUCAGCUCAAGAAAUCAUAAUGGUACUUACACUGUUUAUUUUCAGUUUGUCAAUUAAUAUUCAUUUGUUUUGAGUUAAUUAGCUAUACUGUUCUUGAUUGUUCAGACCCAGUUGUGAUCUUUGUCUAUUAAGUUCAUUUUGUUUGGUUUUGCAGAUGACUGAGUCUCUCUCUCCAGUACUGGUUUCUGAAUCAAAGGCCAAAACUGUACUUACCUGGUGCGUCACUUUAAUUUUGGUGUUUGGGUGUUUGUGUGUAAGGUCUAAUUACAAAUUGACUAUUUUCUUUUAUUUUAUUAGCUGAAUGUGGUUGAAUCAGAUUAUUGUGUUUUAAAUGAAGGAUCCUAUGUCUCUGGCCAUCUUGGUUUCAUGUCCUACUCUACUUCAUAUAAGAGGUUCCAAAUGAGUCAGCCAAACCUGUUUUAUUUUUAGGCUACCAUUUUGAUGUUUUGUUUGUUUGAAAUCAUAAUUGAGGGGACCCAAUGGACCCAGGAUUUGCUAAAUAUUUUGUCAGUUCUGAAUCUGAGCUUACACCAGGUUAUGUUGGCAAAGAGUAAACCAUCCUUGUAAGUUGUAAUCUUCAAACCAGGGCAAGCAUUGAUCACCUUAUAAAUAUAUCCACCAGCCACUAUACUGGGAAAACGACUCUUCAUCAAAUGGCUUUUCCCUUCUUUCUUGGUCCCUGUUAAAACAACUUACUUUGUAUAUAUAUAAUAUAUAUACAUACAGUAAAAGAAACCAGAGAAAAGAAGAAAAAAACAAAUUUCAGAAGAAGGAAAAGAAAGAGAGAGUGGUAUUAGAUGCACGUGCAGUAAGCAGUGACAGUAGCAGAUGCAGAUAUAAAUCUGUGUUUAAAAUUGUAUAAGAAUCCGUUUACAAAGCUGAGGAACCAAACAUAAAUUGGCGCACGCAUGUUUUCUUUGAAAAGAUGCCAACCACUCUGCUGCUUCAAAUCUUAGAUCAUGCAAGUUUUAUUCACCCAAUAUCUACAAAAGAGCUAGCUGCCAAUUCUUCAACCCAUAUAUUAAAUAGGACAUUUAUGUUGGAUCCUCAAGCAUGUUAAGCCUAAUAAAUGAAUCUACAAUAUAUUUUUUGUUGUUUUUUUUUUUUGGCACUCACUCUUUGGUAAUAACCCCAUUGCAGUCUUAUAUAUAUAACAGAUACUGCUUGCCUCAUUUUCUGUUUUUUUUAAAAAAAAAUACUCUUUCUUCUUGUGAAUUAGAGUUUGACACAUGGAAAAAUAAUUCAUCAAAAAUACAAAAAAAAACUCUUACACAUGUCACACUGUUAUUGGCACGAAUAUAGGAGCUCCUACUUACAUAGCAAGGAGAAAAGUAUUUUCCUACGUAACCAGAUGUAGCAUAUGUUUAUUUGUUUUAAUUAUUAUUGUUUUCUUGGGAAAAGCUUGAAAAUCAACUUAAAAGGGAAAAAGGUGGAAAAAGACCCUUGAAUUAAAUAUUCUGAUGUUAUUGGAACUAGAGUAAACUGGGUUCUUAAAAGUUGAAACUGCUGAAACAGUCCUGAUCCCACUCCACAAGAAAGAGAGUGUAUGGGCGUGAAAGUUGUUUAGUCAUAUAGAAAUGAGGCAGCCAAAAUAGGCAGAAGGGAGAGGCAGCGAAGCUUUAGCAGAAACAGCAACACUAAUCUAAUCUGAAUUGUUCUGAGGCCUCUGUUGGGUGAGUGGGUCUGUGGUUGGAUACUUGGAUUGGACCAGAAAGAGGAAAGAAGAGUCUGCAGAUUUCACCAUCUUUAGAGACUUAAAAGGACUUCUACACUCAUAUCAGUUGGCAGAUAACUUGAUGUGCACUCUCAAGUCUCUAACACCUCGCAGUUUCAAAAAGAACAAAAGUGGAGAAGCUUCAUCUUAUGCACUGUCGUUUCAACUCAAGGAGAAAUCUUGAAAGGAAAACUUUUAGAUGUAACUAAGAUUUUUCAACUCAAACAUCUGAAAAUGUUGAGACUCUUUUGCUUAUAGCCACAUCUCAGACGCAUGUGGUGAUUCUAUGGUUCAACCUCCAUGCAUGCAUCUAUCUAAGACUGUCAAUCGCAAUGAGAUGCCCUCCAGAAAUAAGAUCAUCUAAUCACUAGAGGUUCAGUCCCACCGGUAAUAUGCCGUGGUGCAAUUCUGGUGCACAUGUAUUCGGACAAGCCCAGGUUUUCGAAGUACAGAAUAAAACACUCAAAAUCUUACAUUCAUAUGCAUAUGAGAUGAUCGCGGCCGCGGGGGGGAGGGGGGGGGGGGUGGGGUGUGGGGGGUUGGUUAAGCACUAGAAAUGAGGAAAUGAAGCUUCUAUUAGAAUUUUUUUCUUUUCUCUAUUUAUUUUUUAAAGUUACAGAAUACAUGAAAAGAAUUCUCAGAACUCUGGGGAUCACAAACAGAAACUAUAAACAAUGCAGUGAUCCUCAGUGAAUAACUCAUGCCUUCAUAUAAAUAUAUUUUUUGUUCAAAAUUGCAAGACAUAUUUACUCCUGAUUCCGUAGAGCUCAAGAUGAUGGAUCUUAAUCAUCAUCAUCAUCAAGAGCGGCCUCUCCAUUCACUUUAUCACCGCCUUCUCUGCCUUCUCCAUCACUCCGUAACUCUGCAGAAUUUUCUCUUACAGGACUCGACCCCGGCUGCCUCUCUUGUUGCUCAUCAUCAUCAGAUUCUGACCAUGCCCGCCUUCGUCGAACUGUGGUUGUUGAAGGUGCAGCCUAGAACAUAAGAUGAAUAUGUUACAGCCAGCAGGAAGUGAAACAUUUAGUCUCUCAAUGCAUUUCAGCAAGAAAUUUUCAGCAGGUUAGAACUCAGACAUGAGAAUGUAUAAAAUUUACCACCUCAUCCUCGGCAUCAGAAUCUUCAAGCCCAGCUGCUGCAAGAGGAUCUUGAACAUUCUCUUCAUCAUCCUGCUCAUUCAUCUGACCAGUAGGCUCCCUGUAAUUCGUGUUGGCAUCUUCAUCUUCCAGUUCUUCCUGAUCUUCCAUCAUAUCAGCUUCUGCUUCCAAUGUGUCGUAACGCGACCUUGAGUAUUUGUCCUUCUUUCUCCUUUUUCCACCUUUUCUCCUUCUCUUUUCACCAUUCCCGCCCUCCUCAUCAUCCAUUUCUGAUCUUUCCCUUCGCUUAGAACCAGGUGUACUGCUCUUCCAUUGCUCCUGAAGAUGCAAAAAGCUUGGGGCAAUUAGAAACAUGAAAUUCUUCAACCAAGUUUAGAUGUAAAAUAAAUAAAUAAAAGCUAUCCACUUCCUGUAUCCUUCAGCAUCCAUCUAUUUUCUAUGAGAAUGGCCUGUUUGGAUACUACAUUAGCAUUCUCAGAUCUAUACAGAUCUCUCUAGAACAGCAGAAUUAUUCAAAGAUAUAGUUCUUUGAUGAUUUUCAUAAUACAAGCUAACUAAUCUUUGAUCUGGUGCUCACAGUCGAGCUUGGUAAUAUAAGACUUGAAAGAGAACUGCCACAUUCCAAAUAGGGGCAACCAAGAGGGAAGUAUCAGUAUAGACAACUCAAUUAUCAAUCUUUACCUUGACGCGCUCAAACUGUUCCUCCUGUUGUCUCACUCGCUUCAGUUCGUCCUCUUGCAAUCUUCUCUCCAACUGUUAUACAAAAGCAUCAAUAAAUGUAUGAUGUAAACUCAUACAAAAGUAUUAAUACAUUAACCAUCGUCGUACACAGAAUGAAGCAACUUUCAAAUACCAAACCUGAAAUUUCCUCUGUUCUUCAGCCUUACGACGGGCUUCCUCAGCCAAUGCCAUCUGACGAGCAACUUCUUGUUUGUGCCGAAUCUUCUGCUCCUCAUGCUCAGCUACUUUAAAGUGAACUCUCGCAGCCUCAAGCAAGUGACUACAAUACUCAACAUGGGUGUCAAUUUUUUUCUCAUCAAACCCAUGAAAGUGAAGGCUGGAAGCAGCAGACAACUGUCUAAAUAAGCGAACAGCAUUUUCUAGCUCUGCAACUGUUGACCGCACCUAAAACAUUGAUACAAACAGAAAUUUAUGUGCUCAUGAGAGAGAGAGAGAGAGAGAGAGAGAGAGAGAGAGAGAGAAUGAAAUCACAAAUUAAACAUGCAUUCAAUAAAUAUACAGGCCAAUCAAAUUCCAAAGAAAUAGCAUUACAUAUAAUCACAAAGACACUACAUUCAACAGCCACCGCGUAUCAGGAAGGGAUGUCCAAUAAUACUACAAGCUGUAAGAACAGUUGUGCAACGUGACAGCCACAGGUUGGCAAUUUCUCUCACAAAAUUCUUAAUUCAGGGUUGACAAUUUCUCUAAACAAGAUAAAUCAUAAUAGGGUAAAAACAUGAAAACAGGUAUGACUAUGACUAUGAGAUAAAAAUGAAAACCAGAUAAAGUAUUGGUGGUGGUAUUGUUGAUUUUGUUGUUGUUGUUGUAUUAUUUAGUGUUAAAAAUAAUAUAUUUUUUAUUAUUUAUAAAAAAAAACCGUACAUAAAAUGUUCUCAUAUAUGCAAAAAUCAAUCUAAGACAAAUCUAAAUGAUCAAAUUCUAUUAUCUCCUAGCCAUCCUUCUUCCUGCUUCUUAUCCUACAUCAUGAUAUCCAAGGUUGAGCCACAUUGAACCACACAAAAAGCUUUUAGUGUGACAACAAAUGUAAGGCAAGAAAUUUUGAGAAGGUUUUCCAUCAAACCUCAUCAACAGAUUUCUUUGGCUUUUGUAAGGUUGAAGCUGAGAACUUUUGCAUUACAACACCUGCAUCAAACCUCAGCGUGUAAUUUGAAGGUGCCAGAUGAAUGGCUCGCAGUAAGUUCUUUUUGCAGUCUUGCCACUGCUCAGCUUCAUAGUGGGUACGAGCCAAAUAGAGUAGAAUCUGAGAGUCUGUGUUAUUAAAGAACUUUCUCAAGCAAUUUUGGUACUGCAAGACAACAAGAGUCAUCAGCACAUGUAUACGCCAUCAAAAGAAUCUGGCAAAAAGAGAAGAAGCAUAGAACAGAGAUGAGAUGAAUUCACCAUUUUCACAGCCAAUGCAAAAUUGCCUUGAGCAAAAUAAACAUGUGCCAAGUUUAUCCACACAUCUGGCAUCUGAACAAAAAUGUUCCCACUGGCAGCUUCUUGAACCUACAAUAGUACAAAUGAAAACAGUAAACCAUUCAUGUACUAAAAUGAGGUACUGUAUAGAGAUAUCGAGAGAUCGAUCAUACAACUCACCUGCGUAAAAAUGUCUUUUGAAACAUCAAAGUGACCCUUCUCUGCAAAGACCACUCCAGCACCAUUGGCAGCAUACAAAUUAGCAGAAUGUUGGGCUAGGACCUAUAAGCAUGAGAAAACGAAUAUUAGGUUUUUGUAACCGAAAAGAAAUGAAAUAUCAGGAUUUCUGUUACCAUGGUUGACAAACUCUAGAUUCAAAUAGUACAAAAUACAAAUUGAAAGAUUUUAGGAAUGUCAACUAAUAAAAAUGGUUCACAGACCACACCUAAAAUCACCCCAAUGAUAAAAUAAUAAUGCGCAUUUACAUUCAAGCCAUAGAGGUCAUAGAAAUAAUUAAUCAAACAUGUCACAAAUAACAAAAAGGAGAGAGAGAGAGAGAGAGAGAGAGAGAGAGAGAGAGAGAGAGACAAAAAAACAUACUUUAGUGUAGAGUUCUUUGGCUUUUUCUAAAUGCGUAGCUUCCAACUUAGGAGCUCUUUUCUCAUUGCGAAUUGCCGCAAAGUAGUUCCAGUUGCCCUUGAGAGUGACAAAAAAGUGUAUGAGAUGUAAAGAAUACUAAAGUAACAACUACAAUGGCAAAUGUGUUUCCCAUUGACGCAUAGAAGAUGCAAUUAUGAAAUAAAUUUUAAAAUAAAUUUUAAAGAACACCAAAAGUCAUCAUUUAUGUAUUAUAUAUCUAAAAAGAAUUGAGAGAAGCAUGCACACUAAAACAAUACACACCAGAGAAAGAGUGGCAUAGGAAUCCUUCCCCUCGGUUGCUUCACUAGCAGCCCGAAAGGUUUCUUUUGCCUUAACCCAGUCAUCAUUUUUCAAUUCCAAGUCACCAAGCAUUAAUAGUGCAUUUGGGCACUUGUUAUUCACCUUCAGAGCAUCAUUAACCUGUAGAAAGAGCAAGUCAAUGUUGGAACAAUGUGCGCAUGCAUGUGUGUGUGAGAGAGAUAGAGGGAGAGUAUUAGGACAAAGGGAGUUAAAGGUAUAAUAACAACCAGUUCAAUGCUUAGUUGAAAAUUAUUUCGAGCUUUCGCAAGGGCAGCCAGUCUCAGAUAAGCAUCUACAUAGUCUGGGUACUGCAAAGAAGAACAGAGUUUAAACAACCCAAGAAAGAAAAAAAAUUGAACCAUGACACAUCAAAAGGUCAGCUCCGCAGGUGUUUUUCUUUAUUUAUUUAUCAGUACUUUGUGGUAACCUUGGUUUUUUGUUUGAGCAUGAAAAAUUCCAUUACUAGCACCAUGAAGUAAGAGAUGCAUCGUGGUCUUUUCUAAGUGCCAAAUUCCCAAUUACUUAGAAUUGAAGACCAGGUUCUAUGUUCAUAACAACAUGGUACUGGUAAACAUGCCCAAUUAAUUCAGCAUCUGCAUGGAAAUUCUUCUCUUUGAGACGGUCUAAAAUCUAAUUUAAGUUCACAUCACCAAUGACAAAAAGUAUCAACAUUUUUUUUUUACCAAGUUUUAUACUUUAAUUAGAGCAACCAGAUGGAUGUAAGAAUAUAAUCAUGUAAAACAAUUUUCCUCCAGUGCUAUUACAACAUAAAACAAGCAUAUUCAUGCACGUGCACAAAUAGAAAAGACGUACCUUAAACAAAAUGAGACGGUACAAUAUACUUGCAGUUUCAAUGUUAUGCAACUGCUCGAGUAAUCUGGCCAGGUUAAAUAGUGUUGUGACUUUAUUCCAGGGUAACUCGACUAAGUGCCCCUCUUUCUCAAGUUGAUGAAAUAUAUGCACGUCCUUGUAUUGUGAAAUAGAUGCAUUAGCAUCAAUAGAUGGGGGUUUUUCUUUACCAUCAAUGAAGGCAAGCCAUAUUCCAUCACCUAGUGCCUCCCUGAAAGUUUGCUGAGCAAGCUGACAGACAGAAGAAUAUACAAAGAUAUCAAGCUACGUUUGCUUGGUGUAGCAAUUACAAUUAUCCGGGUAGAAAACAAACAAGCAAUCUUAAAACUACUCAAACCUACACAACAUUUUAUGAAAGUGCAAAAUGUAGAUGCUGAUACUUAGCAUCUGCCACACAGACAAUUUUAAUUGCAUCAAAGAUAUCCUUGGAGAACUGCACAAACCUCAAAUUCACCCCUCUCAAAAUGAAGAACCCCAAGAUUGUUAAGAACUUCAAUUGGUACUUCUUCACCUUCCUUUUUCAAAAGAUUACGUGCCUGAAGUAAUAAUUGACAGCUUAAUAAACCUUCAAAGGAAAUUACUAGAUUCCAACAAUGAAGGAGAAAAAGAGCUCCAUUUAAUAUAAGGAUGAUCAUUCUUGUUAUUUAGGACAGAAUAACAAGAAAUCCAUACCGUUUUUAGGCAAUCCAGAGCCGCUCCACCAUCAGAUGAAAUCAACAGUUCUCCUAGGUCAAGAAAUGCCUGCAUUGCAGUCCGAUAGAAAAAAUUAAAAUAAAAGUUUGAGCUAGGAUAUGGCUCGCCAUACAUACUAAAAUUUCAAGAUGCAUCUUCAAAAUGACCACAUAACACCUCAACUCUAUUCAUCCAAAAACAACUAUUAUCAUCUUGGCUAUGUACAGAAACAUCCUGUUUUAGUAUGGGCACAGGAUGUGAGACUCAGCCAGUUGCUAGAUAACCCAUGAGGAUACAGCUACACACAAGGGUUCCAGUGAGCAUUAUAAUAAACAUGUACCAUCAUUAUCAACACUAUUACUGUGUUUCUUUGUGAAGACUGAAGAGCAACAAAGACAAACAAUGAUGAAAAAAGUAUAUACAAGGAGAACCCCUAACCAAUUGGCAUAGCAAACCUCUAAUAAACGGAGACACAAAUGUAAGAGUGCCACACCAAUAAACAGGAAAGAAAAUAUCAGACACGUGGACUGUGGGCAUAGGUUAUGUUAGCAAAUUCACACAAACCAAUUCUCACUGGGGAAAAAAUCCACAAGGACACAACUCAUCAAAGAAUAAUAAAGAGGAUCGAUAACCUGGGAAUCACAUGGGUCAAUUUUUGUAGCCUUCCUCAUAAAUUCCAAGGCCUUCUCAGUCUGUCCAAGCUGAAAAUAUAUGUGCCCAAGGACCUAGAGAAAAGGGAAAUUAGCAAAGUAAAUCAAACUAACAGAAAAAAUAUAUCAUUGAUGCCAACAUACUUUCAUUUCACGUUUCAACUCACUUUCAAUGCGUCACAAUUAUCAGGGUACACCUCCAAAACCUUUUCAAAGUUUGAUAGUGCACUUCUAAGAUCUCCCAUCUUCAGUUGUACCUGUCCCAAACCUGUCACCAUGAGCCCAAAAAUUAUGCACAGAACUAGGUGAAUGCAAACAAUAUUACAUCAAUAUAAACCUGCUUCUCCGUGCAGAUUUCAGCAUACUACCGAAAAAUGUCUUAUUAACAGACCUAGUUGAAGUAUGCAUGCCAAGGAAAAUGAAAACAAAAGAUGUGGACUUAAAAAGAGAAAUUAUGUUAAAGUCUUGCAGAAGAUAUAUUACAUUAUAAUCAUUACUAAUACUAUGCCAAAACAUCAUACUCAGGCAAAGUAUAAGCACAGAAGAUUGUAAUGAUUGAUGGUAACUGACCAUAAUAAGGAAAUACGAACUCAAGGGGUUUACUGAUUUCCUUGACAGAUGCCAUGUAGUACACUCCAGCCUUAUCAUAGUCCCCCUGAAAUCCAGUGAAAAUAAACGUUUGUAACAUUUGUGAUCCAAUGUAUGCAUGACUGAAAUGUAUAAACUUGAUGUCAUCAAAUCAAAUGAGGCCACAAGACUUGCUAAUAAUUUAUCUUCACUUAUUUGAAAGUGUUCGUUGCCAGCAGUAAGUUAGUAACAGUAUUGAUGACAAUUUCAUUAUAGGGCCACCUUAUGCAUUUGUUUAGCUAGGAACCACAAUAGCUGGUCGAGUAGCAUGUGGAGCUAAAUGCUGCCUAAGAUAAAUCACUAAUGGAUGAUCAACCACAUUUAAACACACACACACACAGAAGUCGCCAGAAAGCAUGUGAUUGUACGGAACACAACUUCCUCCGCCUCAAAAUUUCCAAUCAACACAAUACAAAAAAUGUAAAGAACCCCUUAAUGAUAACAAGAAAAGCAUGACCUCUUCAUAAACAAAAUAAUAAUAAUAUCAUGCAUAAUAUUUUACUAACCUUGCUAUGGUAAGAUCGUGCCAAAUUGUAGUAGGAAUGUGACUUUGUCGGUCCAUGGUUGGUGACAGCAAGUGCAGUUUCAGUUAGUUGCUCAACUAGAAAGUGCUGACCAGUGUAGAAAAAAUGGUUUGCCAAAUAAUUCAAGGCCAUUGCGCAAUAAGGGUAUAUCUCAAAAGCUCUCUGCAUUUUUUCCAUUCCUCUCCUUAUUCCAGCAGCUGUCAAGUACAAUAUAUCCUGAAUAUUAGACUGCUCGAAGGAGAGAAGUAUGGACAAAUAAUAACUAUCAAACUAAACACAAGUGCAACAUAUAGAAAUGCUGACUUGUAUGGUUGUACCUGUAUUUGCAUGCAAAUCCAUAAUCGCAAGUGCAACAAGAGCCUCAACAUUUUCUGGAUCUAGCUGCAAGUAUAAAUUCAUUUUGUUAGAAACUGCGGCAUUUAACACCUUCACCUUAUAUUAAUGCAUCAUUCAUUCACUGAUAUCGCUUGCCUGUAAAACCCGUUGAAAGGCCUGCCGAGCUUUUUCAAAUUGACCCAUUUUGUAACGACAGAGACCUAUGCCAAGUCUUACAGCCGCAGGACAAUCGGGAUGUACUUGCAGGGCCCUCUUUAUCAAAUUUCACAAAAGACAAGUUAAAUCAACAAUUAGCGUUCGUAAAAGAAAUAUCUUCACAAAAUUACCAAAUUUCUACACUGCAGACCCAUAACCCCAACCAAUUCAAAUACAAAUAACCAAUUCUAGAGGUUCAGACCAUAUACAUUCUUGUGUUCUUCCCAUUAGCAAACAAUGGGAUGAAAAAUACAAACCUUGUACAGCUCCAAUGAAUCCGAGUAAUGCCCACGGUUGAACUCAACGCAUGCCUGCAAAUAACAGGGGCAAUGUGUUUACAACAAAUGAAGCAUAUCUACACUAACCAAGCCCAACCCAAUUUGGUCUCUCUUGCUCUCUCUCUGGGACAACCAGCUCUGUUAUAUUUCAAAUGAGUUCCCCCUUGGUCUUAAUUUAAAUUCUAUUCCGUUAGCUGCUAUCUAACACUAAAAUAGUCACUCCCAUGUACCAUUGCCAAUUUUCUGGCCACAGGGCCAUGCUCAUAGAUCAUGGAUUCACAGCUAGCCAAGUACCUCACAUGUUAAAAAUUUACACCCAUAAUCAACACGCUUUAGAAAGAAUUAUUGAAAGUAAAAGAGACAGUGUUCAAUAUAUGAUAUACUGAUAAAGCCAAGACGAGGAAGAGCAAUAACUAAAAAACUAACUAUAUCUUCUAUUUUCCUUAUCAUAUGCUGAUAUAUUCAUCACAUCUUUAUCCAUGCGAUCUUUGAAAAUGGGAAGCAUAAUUAUUUUGCUAAGCAGAGAAAUUCAAUGUAUAUACCUGACCCAAAAGGGCAGGAACGUUGUCCCGGUCUCCAUCUAAUACAAUCUUGAAUGCAGAAAAUGCUUGAUCAACUUCACCUUUAGCCAAUAAGAGCUGACCUGAAAGACAGGUAAUAAAAUUUCAAGUAUCAUAGGAUGCAUCAUAUAACAGCAGCAAAAAGGUUGCCCCUACAUUAUCUCACAAUAUAGAUCCUUCUGUGACACUCAUUGAGAAUUUAGACACAUAAUAGUACGAGUAAGCCGUAGAUGUAUUAUAGACCAAAACCAGCAAGUUUCAGAACAUAAAUUGCAAACACAAAGAAACUUUAUGUGCCAUACAGACAGAAGGAUACACAAAAUUUCUUUGGACAAAGAGGCUCUGGGGUAUCCACACCUUUCCCAACCCAAGUAGAAGGCUCAUGAAUGUCGAUUCUAGAUGCUUUGUUGUAAAAUUGUGUAGCUAGAAUGAAAUGCUCCUCCUUUUCUCUCUGUUUGGUCUCAAUUUUUCCGAGGUAGGUGUAGUAGGCCCCUAAAGCAUUCAAGAUCGCAAUCCUCUCAUAUCGAACAUCAGCAUAAUACUCAUCAAUCUCUGCACCAAGAAAAAAUAAUAAUAGCCAACAUUACUCCACAAUUUAAACACAAUUCGAUAGACAUUAAGCACCUAUAGCAAGUACGAAACAAAAAUUAACAAAUAAAACAAUUUCGGAUAUUGCAAGUGCCGGGAAAGAAUGAUUACCAGAGCCAGACCCUUCCUCCAAAAUCUGGCGGAACUGCUCAAGUUUUCCUUGUUUGAAAUACUCUCUCUGCAGCAUUCCCAGUUAAAAAGUAAACCGCAUAUUCAUCGUUUUGUAUUAGAAAAAUAAAUACAAAAUUCACCAUUAUCUUGCAUUAGCGUAAAAAUUGAAACGUAAUUGUUCAGCAACUCAAACAAUCAUGCCAUGAACAAAACAUUAAGCAUAUCCUCUAACAGAAAAGGCAUUUAAAUCAAAAACUAAAAUGCAAAAAAGACGAACCGCGAUAAUGAGCCAGAGAUCGAGAGAGGCUUGCUCGGCUUUGAGAAUGUCGAUGAUAUCAGUAGCUUCCCUUGGGAGUUGAUCCAGAACCACCCUCACUUCCUCCUCUGAAUUCUGAACCGGUAUGUACACGCACGCCAUUGAUUCCCCCAAUCACCCAAAAGCCCAAAAAUAAAAAAAAUAAAUGACAGUUUAUCCAAACGAAACCCUAACUCUCUGUCUAUCUCUCUCAACUCGUCUUCGGUGAACUGGCCGGAGGGCGAGAACGGCCACCAAUUAGACGCAAAGAACGCAACUUUUCUUCGCGUUUGAACUUCGAAGGUUGUGCUGUGAGAAGAUGAAAACCGCUCACACAGUCACUGUCUUCUUUAUGGUGUUUCUCAUACUAUACCAAGCUCUCUGUUUUAAAAUACAACCGAAAGAAAUAGACUUCUUUUUUCUUUUUUUAAACCGCCUCGCGCUAAAACCUAGUCCUUUUGGGAAACCCAAAAAAAGAAAAAGACCAAUUUACUCAGCUCUCUCUCUCCUCUCUCUCUUCUCUCUCUCUAAGGCUUCAUCUUCGUCAGCGGCUCACGGCGACUAUAAAGCCCUAAGCAGAACGGUUGGAAUCUGAGACAAUGCCACUGAAAUGGUAAAGAUUGAAAACCCUAUUCUUAGGUUCGGAGUAUUAUGUAUAGUAAGUUUUGUGUUUGAUUUUCUUUUGGGUGCAAUUUUAGGGUUUUGCAUUGGCAGCCCAAUGCAGGGACGACAGUAAACAGCCAAAUCAUCAACGAAGUAACGCAGUGCGUUGAGAGCAUCAAUGGCGUUAAGGAAGGCAGGUGGAAAGCCACUAUCACCUUCUACAAACCCAUGAUUCGAGGUAAAUUUCUCAUCUUUCGUGUUUUCAAUUUUGUUUUUCUCAAUUUUGUAUUAUGGGUUUUGUCAAUUGUUAUGAAGUUGGAUUUUGAUAUAUAUGUACAUAUAUGUACAUCAGAGCAGGCUUUAGCAGGGGACUUCCCGCGUGAUUUUCUGGGGAUUGCGCUGCCGGAACAACCGAACAAGUACUACCUGAUAAUCCGAUUGCAGCGCAUAGUUCUUGAGGCUGAUUCAUCUAUUCAGAUGAUUAUGGAGAAAUUACAGUCUUACAAAUCGAGGGUCUCUCUUAAUUUUGAGGUCCCCUUCCUCUCUCAAUUAGUCUAAUUAGGAUGUUUAAUAUCCUGAUAAUUUGAGGUCCAAACAGAGAAAAUGGUAUUAAUAUGAUUCUAUGUUGGUGUUGUAGGGAUUUCAAUAUCAACUUGGGGACUUCCAAUUAAGAGUGGGGAAAGUUCUUCCUACUCAUUCUGAAAAUUUGAGAGGAAUAGUUAUGGAGGUACCUCUAAGCUUGAAAUUUGUUGGAGAUUUGAAUACUUUUUUAUGGGAUUUUCCUUUUCUAUAUUUGGCAAAUUUUUUACUAUUGGAGAAGUAAAUAUGCAUUUUGUAAUAUCUGAGAUUGAUAAGGCUUUUAUUUUAUUUUUUGGGCAGUUUGCCAUUGAGAAAGUGCCUUUCGGUUUCAUUUGAGUGUGUUGGUGUCUAACUUUGACUCUAUUUACCACAAAAGCAUGGGAUUAAUAUGCCUAAAGGAGAGAGCUAUAUCACAGUAAAAUUAACCUAUGAAAAGUGUGCAUCCCCCAAAUGUGUUUUGGAGCACUUUAUAGUAAUGCAUGAUGGAAGUAGUUUACCUGUUUAGCUACCUUGAUAAGAGUUUUCUCACAAGAUUGGAAUACAGGCUGGAUUACUAUUUGCCGAACAAUGUGAAUUCCAAGCUCUCGUUAAUAUAUGAUGUUGGUUUCAUGAUGAUUAUGUUCGGCAUGCAAUUUAUAUAUUGGCUUAGAUUGAUUUCUGAAUCUCCCUGUUGACUUUGAUUAAUUUCUAAGAAAAGGCAAAUUUUUUUAACUACAAAUGUAUUUGGUUUCAGAUCAGUGCUUUAGCAUAGGAUUGUGAUUGUGCUCUAUGAAAUAUUUAGCAGUGUAUGAAUUUGCUAGUCUUCAGAUUGUUGGUCCUUAUAUGGUCUUUUUUCCCCUUGUUUCCCCAAGUACCCUUGACUAUUUGUGUGCUAAAAUGACUGAUAUUUUAUCCAACAUCUAUUUCAUAUUUGCUAGAUGUUAAUAUGGGAAAUAUUUUCAUGCUGUCAUCGUCUUGGAUCCUUUUAAUUGAAGUUGCUUGUGUUGUACAGGUGGAGUACCUUCCCAUUUCUUCGAUGGAAAAAGCGAGGCAAGUCAUGGAAGACUUUAUGGAUAUAUGGCAACAGGCUUUGUCAAAGAGAUCAUUACCAGGGCACUUUAUGCACAUGGAACCAAACUUUGCUGAGUAUGGCCUUGCAGACCAGUAUACUUCACAACAUACUGCUGUCCAGUAUGCUACUGUUAUGGCUCAACUAAUUGCAACAGUGCAGGCAGUGCAAGCAAGAAACUAGGAACUGAAUAAGAAGAAUUUGUUGUUUGUCACUUGUCAACUGGUUUUAUGAAUGGAUAACUUCAAUCCCAGUUUCUUUGGGACUCACACUCCCUCUGUUUGGAUAGAAGAAAAUGAGGGAGGAACGAGGGUCUGUACACAGGUUUGAUUGUUCAUGGAAGACAAGAAAGUAAAGGGUUGGGUUCUUUAAAUGGAAAAAUAGACUUCUUCAUUACCCUUUGUACAUCACAUUGUUAACUUAUGCUUUCGAGUAAAGCUGCUUCUCCAUUUAUUUCGUGUUUUCCACAUCCCAUUGAAGAGGGCGAAUGUCCACAACUUAGUUCUUAUUUCUCUGACAACUAGUAUAAACGUAUCAGAGAGAUUUUUUAAAGAAUAAAGAUUUGCUAUUUUGAUAAACAUCUUGAAAUAACAGGUAGACAUACAUACACAUGCAAAAAUCAAAUAAAGAUUAGGAGUUGCGCAUAGCAUUUGCCCAAGUUUAGAAAGAAAAUAUGACAAAAAUAGAAUUCAAGAAUCAAAUUUGAUAAGAGAAAAAUGAAGAAAAAAACUCAGAAACAAAUAAGGCAGCAGGCCUAAGUUUCUCGAAGUGGGCCUUGCCACUUUUUUUUUUUUUUUUUUUUUCUCCAAACCCAUGGGAGUCAGCAAAGAACUAAAAAGCCGAGACAACCCUUUGCUUUUUGCACGUACUGAAAGAUGGUGUGCGAGUAUAAAGGGGCGCACGUCCACGUGAAGGCACACAGAAGCACAGCUUAGGGCCUAAGCGGCGCGCUAUAAAAGCUGGAUUUGUUGAAAGCGAGAGAGGGGUUUGGUUUGGUUUGAUUAGCGUUAGCCACCCUCUCUGCCUCUCCCACAGUCAUCACUCUGCUUCAUUCUCUUUCAUUACAGGUUAGCCUCCAUCAUCAUCAUCAUUAUCAUCAUCAUCAUCAUCAUCAUUAUCAUCAUCAUCAUCAUCAUCAUUAUGCAUAGAAGAGGCCAAGCAACAGCCUUGGCACGAACCCACUUGACCAAAAUCUGGUUUUUGCAUUUGUUAUACAUGGGCUGAUGAAUUUGUUGUCCUUAAUUUUAUUUUUUUGUUUCCUGCAGAUUGUCAUUUAAUCUCCAAUGGAGCCAGAACGAGCUCCCAGGAAGGUUUGUUUGAUACCCUGCUUUUGUUGAAUUAAUGUCCUUUGUUUUUCUUUUAAAUUCUUCAAUAGUUUUACUUUUGUUUUCUUCUGAUUUUCUUUGCUCUGCUGCAGAUGAGAUUCAUACCAAAAGCUCCCCGCAGAGUGCCAAAGCCUGAAGUCAAAACGUAUUUGUCACUUUUUGUUAAACUUGAAAGUUGUACCCUUUUCUGGUUUAAUCUGUUUCUUAACUUCUGUUAUUCUUAAUCUCUCUAUAGCGAAGUGGACCAUGGGGCGGAGGAGUCUGAUGCUGAAAAGGCUAAGGAAUUGCUGAAACGCUUCAAUGUAACUGUGUUUUUCAUUGAUAUGGAUGUCAUGGUUUCAAUUUCGUUUCUGAUCCCCAUAUCUCAUGUUCUGUUUUGUUUGUGUGUUUAUGUAUGUUUUUUUUUUUUUUUUGGGUGCUCUUUUCUUAUAGGAACAAUCAUCAAGGGCGAGGCUCAAAGUUGAAAAGAAAGGUAAGGCUCUUCGGGUUUAAAUAAGCCUGAUAUCAAUGCACACUUGUUUUUUUCAUUUUCAGUUUACUCAAUAACAAGUGUAUAACACAACAUAUGUAAUUCUUCACUUUUAUUUCGGCAUCUUACACCUGCAAUUAACUCAAUAAAGUUCAAAUCAAAUAAAAUAGUCAAAUAAUAUGUAGUGGAGUUGUGAUCCAAUGGAAAAUAUGCUAUAAAAUUUGUAUCUUGUGGAUAUUUUGUGGGAGUAGGUUGAACUUGGCUUAAGUAGAGGAAAUUUGCAUGUCAUGAUAUGUAUUCUCUGAAUAAGAUAAUAUUUCCGUACAAUUUGUUGGGAUUAGAAUUCUCUGUCAUUUAUUUUUUGAAAUUUGCAGUGGUGCCUACGCAAAUUGUAUUUGGUUAUGGUGGUGCAUCAACAACCAUGAAAUCAUAUGGUGCUCCCAAAGGUGGGAGCGCUAGUUCAGCCACCAAUGGUAUAGUCUCCUUCAAUGUACUCUUUUUGUUUAGCUGCUAAUGAGAUGCUUCUAGUACAUCACCUUGGAUGGUGUUUCUGCAGCUGGUGCCUCAGGCGUGAAAGAGGAGAAAGAAUACAGUUCACCAUGGGUAGGUUACAUUAUGAUUCAAAAUAUACAAGCCAACUUGACUAUGCAUUAUUGGUUUCUGGUUUCUGCUUUUUCUGUGAACGUCUGUGUGUGUGUGUAUGACUUUAGUUAUUUUUAUUUUGGAUGUUGUUGCAGGAUCAAUACAGUUAUUACCCUGUAACUCUUCCUCUGAGACCGCCAUAUUCUGGAAAUCCUGGUAUGUUUUGAGAAAAGCAUAGGAUUAUCAAUGAUGCAACAUGGCACAUUAUAGGUUGUCUAGUCAUUGCCUUUUACCUAAUAGUAUACGCAUUUACAGGUGGUUUGAGUCGUUCUUCUUUUUUUUUGGUUUUGUUUUGUUUUCCAUCUGAUCAUUUCUGUUUCAUCUACUGUCAAGGUGAAAUUCGACUUGUGUUACAAUAAAUGCACCUAAUGUUCUACCUAUACCACUUGCAGAGAUUCGUAAUGAGGAAGAAUUUGGGGAGGGUUCAGAGGAAUCAACUUAUGAUGAAAAUUCAACAACACCAGCAAAUGAUCUUGGGCUAUUGGUUAGUAAUCCCACAAUUGAAAUUCUAACAUUACAUGCUUAAAUCCUUUGAUUUACUUUUGAUAAUUUGUUGGCAGGAGGAAAAUAAAGCAACAAGUAUGUUCUUUCUUCAGUUACCGCCAAAUAUGCCUACAAUAAAACGAUCAGCUACAGCAGAUAGUCAAGAGGUAACAAAAAGCUCAGGGCCACCUGGAGGUGCACGCAAUAUGCAGAAGCCUUGUUCUUUGUCCGAGUUACCCGCUGGCUUCAUGGGUAAGAUGCUGGUGUACAGGAGUGGUGCUGUCAAGAUGAAGAUAGGAGAUAGCCUUUUUGAUGUGAGUACAAUUUCAUAAUAAAGAUGAAAAAUGGAAUGCCUUCUGUUGCCCCACUUAACUGUCCAUGCUAUUAUACAUGCAUGAAAUAAUCUUAUAUUUUUGCACAUUUUAACAAACUCCAGUUAACUUUUAUGUUGCAAUUAAUUACUCAAGAAAAUAUUUUUGUGCACGUGUAUAAUAAUCUUAUACUUCCUUCUUACCUUUUGAAUUGUUGCAGGUCUCCCCAGGAAUGAAUUGCGAUUUCGCCCAGGAUGUUGUGGUUGUUAAUAAAGCAGAGAAAGGCUGUGGCAUUAUCGGGGAGCUGAACAAGCGAGCCAUAAUAACCCCAGAUGUAGACUCCAUUUUAGCAAGUAUAGAUGGUUUAUGAUAGUUUUUCCUCAUUUGCAAUACAAUUUUGGUUCCUAGGUCUAUAUACCUUUGAGAGGGAAAUUAUCUUUGUUAGAAACUAUCAGAGAAAAUAGUUGACAAGUUCCAAUAGCAAGACUAGUUAGGAAUUUUUUCCAGUAUACCAGCAGCCACCAUAAUAUGCAGAACAGUGGAUUGUUUUAUACUCAUUUCAAAUGAACCUAUUGCAACUAAUCGUCUGUGUCUAAUGGCAUUGAAAUAAAAGUCAUAUCCUACCAUUUAAGUAUAUAUGCUCUGCUCUCUGUUCGAGACAUUUGUCAAUUCUCCUAAGUUGAAUGUAUUUGCUUUAUAAAAUUAUUGUAACAAACCAUCCUUAGGAGGUGAAUUGGCUCUUGAACGGUUGUUGCCACUUUCAGAAGACACUGAACUUAAUGAGCAAACGCAAAAUCUCGACUUCUUCAUUAUGAACAAAACACAUUAUGGGAAAUAUAACAGGCACACAUUUUUAAUAUCACAUUAUUGGAAGUGAAAUUUAGACAUGGCAGGCUUGUCCAACCUAGAGUUGGUGUAACAUAAUUUGAGCUCCAUGCUGUGGUUGAAGAAUGGUAACAGUAUAAGGAGCAUGAGUGUAAGAAGGUGAGAGCUCGAAUGAGAAAUGUUGCAGAACCAUAGCCAAAGCAAGUUUUGCUUCUAUCAUGGCAAAGUUUUGGCCUAUGCAGGUCCUUGGACCCCAGCCAAAUGGAAAAAAUGCUUGCUGAUCCUUCGAUGCCUUUAAAACUCCUGCGGAAAAUCUCUCUGGUUUGAAUUCCCCUGCAUCAGCACCCCAAAGCUCCGGAUCAUGGUGAAUGAGUAGUGUUGGCAGAGUAAUAUCAACUCCUGCUGGAGCAAUGAUGUCCCCUAUUUUGGUUUCCUUGUAAGCAUGUUGAUACUGAGCAAUCGCCGGUGGAUACAACCUGAGAACUUCAUUAAGUAUCAUGGUUACCUGCAAGAGAAUUUUAUACAUGUAUGUGAUUGUAAAGAGAAAAGAGGAUGCGUUAAUCACCCUUGUAUGUGAUUGCAAAGAGAAAUACUCACAAUCUUGAGGUGGCCUAGAGCUUCAAAAUUAGGUUCUUUUUUCCCACAAACUUGUAGGACUUCUUGCCUUGCCUUUUCUUGCCAGUCUGGGUGCAUGGCUAAAACAAUCAUGGUCCAUGUUAGCCAACUUGAGGUUGUUUCUUGGCCAGCAAGGUAGAACUGCUUGCACUCUUCUAUCACCUCUUCAAUUGUCAACAUCUCAUUGCUUCUUGUGUUCCUUGCAGUUUCUGAAAAGUCCGUCUGAUUAUUAGACUGCAAGAGCAUGCCCAGCAAGUCAUCAACCCUGGAUUCUCCGGCCCUUAUUGCAUUCAUUUUCUUCUGGAUUAUGUUUCGCAGCAUUGAUGUGAUAUCUUUGGCCAAUUUCUUUCUCCUUUGAUUCUUUUUUGUUGGAACAAAUCUGUAUUAAAUGGUUAAGAUGUUAAUUUUCUCAAGAACUGAUAUUAAAUACUAUGCGGGGAAAUAUUAGGCAAUGGAAAUGCACCUGAAACCAGGAAUGUAUAAGGUAGUCAUUGCUUCAAAUGUUAGCACAAGAAGCUCUUUCUGAAGCUCAAAGACCCUCUUCCCUUCUUCAUAGGUGCUUCCGAAUGCAGCUCGAGAAAUAACAUCUGCACUAAGUUUCUGGAUUUCAGGCCAUAUAUCCAUUUCCCAAGCUCCUUGAAGAGGAACCAUCCUCUUCCACUGCUCUAUCAUUUCCCCACAACUAACUGCAAAAACUGGUACCAUUUCCUACAAUAAAAAAAAAAAACAGAAGAAAUGACUUAGUCUGAAAAAGAAUUGAAUCUGUAAAAUCAGAAAGAGAUGUCAGGCAAUAGAUAGAACCUGUAGCCUUUCUAGGUGGAAAGCAGGAUUGAUUAUCCUUCUGUGUUUGGCCCACUUCUCACCCUCUAGACUUGCAAGUCCUUUGGUCAGUAUGAGAAUGAGAGGGUUCAGGGGUGGCUUAUUGAAGUGACCUUGCUUGUUAGACAAGAUUUCUUUCAUCAUCUCUGUAUCCAUGAUGAUCAGUCUUGGUGUUGUCCCAACCCAAUACAUUGAUAUCUUCCCUGUGAUCAAUAAAUUGGGAAAUUAAGAGAUAUGAACAAAGACACAAUAUCAGCUGACAAAAACAUAAGCAGAACUAAUUAACAAGGUGGUUACCAUAUUUCUGCAUAUUAGUUAGGGUGAAAGGGUCAACGCGUGGCGUAACCUGGUGAGUUUGGCUCAUAGGCUUAGACCAUGCUUCCUUUAUGAGCUUCACAAACUCCUUCAUGUCUCCAAUGAGUGGCCUGUAAGGGGUGCCUCUAAUCCCUUGGCGCUUCAACUGCCUCUCAAGCCAUUUGGGUUUCCACCAAAUGGAGUAGGAAACUCUAGCAGCACCAUACAACAGCAGAACCAGUGCAAGAGAACAUAAGAAUACUACAUAUUCUUCCAUACUUGAAAAACUGAGAGAUUCUUUGAGUGCUAGAUAUGAAUGAUGGUUCACAAACUCAAAACUUGAGCAUAUAUAUAGAUAUUGCUGGAGAGUGAGAGCUCCCUUAACGUUAUUUGUAGAAGAUGUUUGAAUUUUGAGCUUCCAGUCAAACGUUUAUCUUGUAAAGGAAACAACUUGUCAAAUCUAAGGUUGUUUUAUAUUGUUUAGUUGACAUUUUUGUUGCCAAAUGAUGUUUAUGUUCCUUUGAUUAAUUUAUCUCUUGGGGAGAAAGGAACAGAGUACUAUUGGGAUUAUAAUAAUCCUGUGAUUCUGGAUACGUGGACAUGCUGAUACAACUUUUGACUUUGUGUCCGGCAAUGUUAUGUGUUUACUUGAGGCCCAAAUUUGUAUUUUGAGUGAGGAACAAGCCUAGACCCACAAAAAAUAAAUAAAUGUAUUUUGAGUGUGUAGACAAAUUAAUAGUAAAAUACAAAAUAAUAGAUAACGGAAAGUUUCAUCAGUACUUAGCAAGCAGAGAUAGAAGCUAAAAAAAUACAAUUCGCAAGUGAAAAACAGAACAUUUAAUUAACCUAGUUACUUGAUUAACGAGACCUCUUCCAGCAUUGAGAAGAGAAGUAACACUAGACUAAUUGAGAUAGAUGCAUGAAAACUAAUUACCUAAUUUGCCAGUUUUUGUUUUUCAUUACAAUGAUAAGAAAACUUCGUCUGCCAUCUGUUUACCAACUUCAGUCAACUUCAGUCAUUUGUCACGCCUUUGUACUUCUUCUGGUGCUGUCUGAUCCUGUAAAUCAUUCAAAUAACCGCAAAUAUAUAACAUGGCACACAUAGAUCCAGCUUGUUCUGCCCUCUGCACAGCCAUUGCCUUUGAAAUCGGACUAAGUAACGCCGAUCCUACCACAGCCGUCGGAUGAUAAGACUUUAUCACGCAAAAUCCACAGUCAAUGACAUAAUGAAUACCAGUCAGCAUUAACAAUGAAGUUUCAGCUACGCUUGUUGCAAGCACAACCUUCCUGGCCCCUUGAGGUGUAGGCUCAAGAGCUUGUGCAUGAAUUAUGGGACAGAUAAUCAGCUGGCCAUGGCCGCAAGCUUUUGUUAAUUGCCUCAACAUUUGGUCAACGGCUUCAAUUUCUUGUUGACCAGGCAAAAACACCAAUAUGUCACCAGGUUAUUGUGUGAGUCGUGAGUCGUGACUGUGUCACAUGAGUUUCAAGUGUUCUCGCCACUGCUUGGUUCACCAAGCCUUCUUCCAUCUUCUUCAUGUGGCUUAUCAGAUUCCGCAGCCUUCUUCGGGGAAUUUUGAAAACCGGAGCAGAAUCAAAAAAGCCACUCAAUUUCUCGGCAUCUGUUUCAGUUGAACAUGAAAUCAGCAGUUUAAAAUCACAUUGCCUUGAUAGAGCAAUAUCCUUAAGUUUUCCCAAUAAAAUAUCAGUUGAUAAAGUUCUCUCAUUGGCCUCAUCCACCAUCACCACACCAUAUCCCUCCAAAUCUGCCUCACCAUCCAAAUAUUUCACGCUAGAAGAUGGUGCAGAUGCCAUGCCCACCACUGUUGAUGAGAUUGGAGGACUUAUUAUACCAAAUUGUGCAAGUAAUAGGAUUACUUACGACCCAAGCAAACGUACUGAACCAAAUUGGGCUUUAUUUGGUACCAAAAAUAAAAUAGUCAAAUUGGGCUCUUUAAUUCCUCCUUUCACUGCCUUCCAUUGAUCCAGUCCAAGAAUUAGGGCCCAUAAAAUUGGGCUGUGUUUGUCACACUAGGACUUUAGUCAAUUAAAUUAUAUUUUUAUAGGAGUUAUUACCAGUACAAAGUUAUUAUUGGACUAUUAUUGUAGAAUCUCCCGAGUUGUUAUUGGCGGUCCAAAAAACUCAUCGUAUACUCUCCAAUUGUAAUUUUUCCGAGCUCUUUCUUUCUAGGGUCAUAACGGUGAUGGAAAAAUCAAAUCUAGUUGAUCCAAUAUUUGUCCUUCUACUAAUUCACAUUUCAAACUGUACACCAAACAAUUCAAAAGAAAAGUGGUUCAGGUUUUUGUCACACUGUAAAAUCUAAUAUAUUUCCCUUUGCUUUGCCUGAUCCAUUAUAAAUUUUAUAGUUUGGAUCUGGCUAGAAAGAGCAUUCUAAGCUAGAAGUUAAUCUGGGUCUAGCUAGAAAGAGCAUUUCUAGCAUGCUUUUCAAAAGUCCCCUCCAUAUAUGGCAAGAGUUGGUGAAAACCAAGUCAAUAAAAAAUCAAAAUAGUAUUCCUUCUGAGUCGGUAGAAGAAAAUAGAUGUCCCUUUAUUAAGUUUCAGUAAAACCCUAGCUAGCUAGCUCCUCUAUAUUCAGUCUUUUACCUUUUUUGAUUGGUGCGUUUAGAGAUGCAUAUGGUGAUUUAGAGUAUACAUGUUAGGCAGUUUACUUGCCGUAUGAAAAUAAGUAAUUGACUAAGCUCAAACCAUAAGGUCAUAGGAGAAAUACAUUGAAUUUUAACUUUUCUACGACACAUUCACCUGCUCAGUAUUAACGUAUGAAAAUAUCAUUUUUGUUGAGUCGUCAUGACCUAUUGAAUGAUACAUUUAAUAUAUUAAGUGGUGUAAUGAAAUAAACGGAUUCCAUGAACUAAAAAUGCUUCAACCUACAAAACCAAAAUUUUGACUGAAGAAGAAAUACCAAAAAACCUCGAGGGUCACGAUGCUUCCAAAUGACAUGAGACAUCACUUUGUCAAAGUUAACUUUGACAAUGUGUUACUAUAUUAUUAUAUGCAAUGAUGAAAACAAUCCAAUCUAUCUUCAAAAAUCAAUUUAUAUCCAAUAUAUGAUGAAAGCAAAACACAAGUUUCCACAAAGUUAAUCUUGUAACUCAUUGAUUAACAGAGUGAAUACAUCUCUUACGGUAAGCUAUGCGUCUUGCUAAGAAAGAAAAAGCAAAAAAAAUUGGGUGCUCAUUGUUAAGAUUUCAAAAGGACGGAUUCUUGGCUCAUUACUAAUAACAUCAAUAUUGUACCCACUUAACCACUUACAUAUUCGGCAUUUGGAGAUGUAUAUGGUGCGCUUAGAGAUGUAUAUGGUCAUUUGGAGAAUACACGUUUAGCAGUUUACUUGCCGUAUGAAACUAAGUAAUUGACUAAGCUCACACCAUAAGGUCAUAGGAGGAAUACAUUGAAUUUUAACUUUUCUACAACAACAUUCACCUGCUUGGUAUUGACGCAUGAAAAUAUCAUUUUUGUUGAGUCGUCAUGACCUAUUGAAUGAUACAUUUAGCACAUUAAGUGGUGUAAUGGAACAAAACCGAUUCCAUGAACUAAAAAUGCUUCAACCUACAAAAUCACAAUUUUGACUAAAGAAGAAAUACAAAACAACCUGGAGGUUCAUGAUGCUUCCAAAUGACAUGAGACAUCACUUUGUCAAAGUUAACUUUGACAGUGUGUUACUAUAUUGUUAUAUACAAUGAUGAAAAUGAUCCAAUCUGUCUUCAAAAAUCAAUUUAUAUCCAAUAUAUGAUCAAAGCAAUACAGAAGUUUCCACGAAGUCAAUCUUGUAACUCAUUGAUUAACAAAGUGAAUACGCCUCUUAAGAGUAAGCUAUGUGUUUUGCUAAGAAAGAAAAAACAAAAAAGAUAGGGUGUUCAUUGUUAAGAUUUCAAAAGGAUGAAUUCUUGGUUCACUACUAGUAAUUUCGAUAUUGUGCUCACUUAACCAUUUACAUAUUCGGUAAGUAUAGAGUUUUAUCUCAAAAAAUUUCAAUACUAUUAAUAAUAGAAUCAUUCAUUAUAUUUUAUAUAUUUUAUAUUUUAUUUGAUCAAGCGUACAAUGUGUAACUUCAUAUUCUUCGACAGCUCAUCUAUAAAAGAUUUCGUUGCUUGCCAUGAAGAUCACAUUGCUUCUAUUGAACAGAAAAAAUCGACAUGAGCUGACAUCAUAUCUGAUUUGAUAAGAUUUUCAAAUAUAAAAUACCCAAAGAAGGGAAAGUGAUAUGAAUUUACUACAAGUGUCCAAAAAUAUUCUUCCUUCAGAAUUAAUUCAACCCAUUGGUAGCAGAAAAGUAGAGGGAAAUAUACAAAUGCAAGCAAGUUAAUGAAGAAUUUAGACAGUAGAAUAAUGUUAGUAUUGCACUUAGGUAGAUCGGAUAGAAAAAGGUGUAUGCUUAAGCUUCAAGUAAAGAAGGUGUAUAGAAAUGAAACUUGUGAUCGUAUAUAUCCAAUAUUAUUAUUUUUGUUAAUGGUUAAAAUUAAUGGGACUAAUCUCAUUCUUUGUAUUUUAAUUAUUUAUGUGGACAAAAAUGUGCUAAAGGUCACAGUCUCGCAUAUCAAAAGUAAAAAUAAGAAAACAUAAAAAAUAAUAAUAAUCAGUCCUACAUACAUGCGAUGAACGUAGUAAACCGCGAUAUAAACAGGAAAAAUUGAUGGCAAAUGUAACUGAUGUAUUGAAAAGAACAAGAAAUAAUUGAUGGAUGGAACUUCAAAUUGAAAGUAUUGGUCUCUCUAUUUUCAAUACCUAAUUGAGAUUACUCAUAUCUCAUGCCAAGGAACACCAAUGGCAAUGUGUAUCCAAUCUUGGGGGACACCUUGUAUUUCUCCCUUAAUUAUUGUAUCAUAUUUACAUACAUCCAUUAAUGUGUAACUUUCAUUAUAUUGCAUAUGCAUCACGCCUCACAUGGUGAGUUCUGAAAUAGUAACUUUGUGUCAAACACAAAUUAUACAGAUGAGAUGGAGCUUAUAGAAACAGAGAUGCGAAGAGGUAACGGAAACGCGUUAUCGUCAGUUUUGCAAAUAAAACAAAAAAGCCAUUGAAUUAUUUGAGCGCUCCAAAUUUUAUGAAAUACGGGUAAAUGCGGAUGCUCUAAAUGCAUAAGCUCGGGAUCAUAAUUAUCACAUGUUGAAAAUAUGAACAUCUUUAAGAUAAAUUUAACAUCCAUGUCUUCCAAUAUUUGUCAAUCAUAUAAGUUAUAAUAACAAAUUACCAUGAAAGACUCUUCAUGGAGCUAAGGAUCUAGAGCGCUUAAUUAUAUCAUCUAACUCUCAAACUUGUUUAGAAGAUUUGAUUUUGUUUCAUGGACGAAGAGUGUUAGAUGUUGACCUGUAAUUAGAUUUUGAUUUUGCUUUUGCUGCUGGCCACCACUGCCACCCCAAGUUGGGUAAAUAUAAUCAUAUUUUUUAUCAUUAUUUUGGGCAUGUUUGUCCUACAGAGGAAUCGUGGGCCCCCAUCUUCCCUAAAGGCCUAAAAGGCUGACAUGAGUGGGCCCUCUCGAAGUAUAGAAGUCAUUUGUGCGAUAGACACGUGAUUGCUAGUACUGAGAGACAGAUAAGAGAGUGAAUGUGUGAAUUCUGAUUAGGUGUUCAGUUACCUACAUAAUUAUUAUGUUUUAUUUAAAUAGAAGCACAAAAUCAUAAAUUGCGUAAAUAUUAAUCCAUCUAUUUAGAAUAAAAUAAUAAAUAAAGAAUGCUAUUAAACGAAUUCUAAAAUUAAUUGAGUACAUUUUACUACUGAAUUAUUUAUUAAAUUAUUAAUUUAUCCUAAUAUAAAAUGACAAAAAAUAAUAUAUUGAAUUGUGAAAAAAAAUAUAAUUUUAAUAAGUACACUCUACUCACCAUAUUCAACCAUAAUCAAACGUAGAGAAAUUUUUGUAUUACUUGGUGCCAGUAAAAAGAUUUUGAGUCUGUUUCAGCGAAAUGAACAUCACGAAAGUUAUCUUAUUUCAAGUACCAUCUAAUGACUUAUAUAGAUUUUCUCAUCAAAUUUCGCCUUUCAAGAUGAUUGGUGCUUAACAAUGAUGGCCUCCUAUGUCUACCUCAAGAACUGUAACUGUAUUUCGGUUUGAAGACUGACGCUGGCCUAUUGGGAUCACUUCUUUGAUUAUGUUUCUCUGUAAAUCAAUUUAGGCCCUCUCUUCUUUUCACUGGUUGUAGUUUUAGCCCCAUUUUCUUUCCAAUUGUUUAUCUUGCCUUUCCAUUUUGGUAUCGGCUUAUCAUCAAAUGGAUCUCUUUAUUGACUUGCUGUUUUAUGAAAUCACAUCUACUUUCGAACAAAAAAAAAAAAGAUUGGUGACAAAAGAUUUGGUGUUCCGUUGAAAAGAGAAUUAAGAUGAUGAAGAUUUGAAUUGAAGGAGCUAGUAAAUCUACUCCUACAGCAGUUUACGAAAUUAAAGAUUUUGAUGCAAACUCAAAAUCUGAAAAGAUGACACGAAUUCAUGUACAAACAUAAAUCUGGUUUAUGAUUGGUAUUAGGGCGUUGUGUGAUAGAUUGUAUUAUGGUGUACUAUGGGUAUUUUUGGUAGUUAAAUAAGGUGUACUUAGUUAAAUUUGUAUUUUGAUUAAAAUAUUAUGAUGUAUUUAAAUCAUAAGGUGUACUCAUUUAAUUUUAGGAUUCGUUUGACAGCACUCUAAAUAAAUUAAGAGGGGAUGUAUAGAAUUUUAUCUCAAUAAUGGACAAUUGAUAUGAAAAAACCCAUAAGGCAUGCAUGAUUGUCUAACAUUUUGGUUUAAUAAACCAAUUUAGCUCGUUGAAUUUAUCUUAUGGAUUGUUGACCUUCAAAGUUUGGGUGGAAAGACUAAUUGGUUUAAUAAAUCAUUUUUAACCUCUUGUUUUUAUGGCAUUAGUCAUACUAGUUUUAAGAAAAAAGGUGUCACACUCACACACAUGCUUAUUUUUUUUUCAAACUUCAACUAUUUUGUUUAGAACAAAGCUUGACUCUUCAAACUUUGCUCGAGUUAUGUUUGAUUUAUUUUGAAUUUAUCAUAAUUAAGAAGAAUGAAAAAUGGAAGUUUUUUUUUUUUUUUGGGUGGUGAAAUAAGGGAUUAACUCCUAAACACGCAAAAACUAAAUAACAAAGAAAUCGAAGUCAUUGUCUUGAUUUGAGAUAAAUUAUACAUGUUUAAGUAGGUUCUUAACAAUUUUCCAAUAUAAUUAAUUACACAAAUUGGACCCCAUAAAUAAAUGUUAACCAUGUAUUCAAUGGUGAAAGGGCUGAAUCUAUCACCUCUUUUAUGGUCAACAUCGAUGACUCUUAGCACGAACUGUACCAAUUUUGUUGAUUUCCUUCUCAAUCAUAGGGGGGGUCCUCCACCCAUUCACGUGUAUCAAAAUCAUUUGUUGCAAUGCUUGCCUUUUCUCUUUUCCCUUCUUUUUAUAGUAGGUAUUUUCGACACUGUAGAUGUAGUUUAGGUCAAUGAUUAAAGUAGUGUCUACUCCUUGCAUUUGAGUUCGAUUUCCCACUUCGCACAUUAGAAUAAUUUAAAAUAUACCUUUGUAAAAAGAGUUAUACAUUUACCGCGAGACCAUUGCCUUCUCUCCGAGUGGAAUUCAAAAUUUGAUUUCCAUUUGUUAAUUCUUAAUAAAUAUCUAUUAACUCUUGAUUAAACUUAACGGUGAGGGAAUAUAAAUAAAGAUGAUUGGCACUGUUUAAAAAAAAAACAAAUCACAGCUGUCUGUGACAAUUGACAGCAACAAACAACGAUCAUACAAAUUUUAAUCACAAUUUGGUAAAGUCCAAGUUCGUAUAAAAAGUUAUUGUUCCAAUGCAGGACAUAUAAAAUACACCAUGAAAGCAUAUUCCAUCGAUGAAUAAUGCACCUCAAAAAGCAACUUAAAUAUAUUUUCUCCUGGAAUAAUAUAAACAAGAUAAAAGUACGACUGCAACUGAUAAUAAAUAAAUAAAAUCUGAUUUAUAUAAUUAAGGGUCCUCCACCACUCAUUUAGUACAUCUUAAUUGGUUUGAUUUUCGUUUUACGUAAAAGUGGCAAGAAAAAUAUAAUUAUUUUAUUAAUAAUGAUGGCAAAUUAUUCAACUACUCUCCAAGCCAUUCUUCCCCUCCUUGAUCCCCAUCGAGAAAAGAGGUCAAGGAAUGGAAAUUAAGAACCAAAUUUGGUUGAACUUGAACACAAUCGUGGCUGCCAACAUUCAAAUGCUGCAACAUUUCCUCUGAGAAAAUUUGAGCUGUUUGAUCCACACAGUGUGACAAACUAUUGUCACGAUUUUGAUCAACAUCGUCACAAUUAAUGGCCGGAAAAUCAGAAUUCAGGAGACUUGCUAGGCUAAUCUCGUUCAUGUCAAAAUCCACUAGAAAAUCCGAGGACGAAUUUUCUUCAUCAGCGAUAUUAGAGAAGGAGGACAAUGACGAUGACCCAUUGUUCGUGUGGUCAUCCCCUGCAUGCCUAUCAAACAUCAAUCCUCCUCUGUUGUCUUCUUCACAAUGUUGGUGGCCAAGUGGGAGUUUGUGAGGGUCUGGGUUGAUGAAAACUUUGGUGCACUUAGCAGCUUUGGUUCUGACCACUGGGGACAUCUUGGAUGGUGAUGGUGAGGUCAUGUUGGGAGACAUGUCCUCCAUAGUCUUGGCCUUUUUGGAAACUGGUUCACCAUUUUUGUUGUGGUGCUUGAGAUUUGAAGCAGAGCCUUGCCGCUGUUGGUCUUGGAUUUUUUUGCCUAAAUUGGUGUUCCAGUAGUUUUUUAUUUCAUUGUCUGUUCGCCCUGGAAGCCUACCAGCUAUUAGAGACCAUCUGGAAAAAAAAUAAAAAUAAAAAUUUUCAAAAUCAAUAUCAAAAUCCCAAUUGAUCAUGAUGAACUUUUUUCUUUUCUUUUCCAAUUACUAUAAUUUCAUAAUUAAUAUAUUAUUUAAAGCAAUGAAAUGGCACAAAUUACCUGUUCCCCAAAAGCUUGUGAAGCCUGAUGAUAAGCUCUUCUUCAUCUGGUGAUAUGUUGCCUCUCUUAAUGUCUGGCCUCAGAUAAUUCAACCACCUAAGCCUGCAGCUCUUCCCACAUCUUUUCAGACCUGCAUAAAUUAAGCACCAAUUAAUCAGAACCAUUGAUUUGAUUUUCAAGCACAAUUCAGAAAACCCACAUAAUCAGAUACAAUGAGCUAAGCAGUGCACAUUUCUUUUCUCUUUUUUUUCACCUGCUUUUUUGGGGAGGUUUCUCCAUCUGCCUUCACCAUGGAGUUUGAUGUAUUCACUGAGAACUUUGUCUUCAUGGGCAGUCCAAGCACCUUUGUUCAAGCCCUCCUUUGCACAACAAGCGCUUCUCCCCAUUGUUUUGGUGCCUGCCUUCUCUGCUCACACCCAAAACUCUCCUUUUCACUAUAGAAACUGUUUCUUCACUGCCUCUGGUUUUUUUUUUUUUCCUCCCAGUCGUGUGCUUGUUCGAUUUGGUCUCCUGUGUGCUUGGAAUAAGAUACUUAUAGCUGCACAUUUUCCCCACGUUAUUAUUUUAUUUUAUUUUAUAUUAUGGUCCCUUUUUUUUUUAGUUUGCCCAGUGGUCCUGGUUUUACCUAGCUAAUCAAUGGUGACAAUAAAUAAAUCCUUUUUUUUUGCAAUAUUUGCUUUCGCAUAUGGUUGUACAAUUACUAGUUGGUAUUGUACAACUAUAUGCGAAAGCAAAUAUUGCAAAAAAAAGGAUUUAUUUAUUUGAUGUGCAGCUCUUUUAUCACUCAUCACUUAAAAAUGUAAGAAUUAAUUAGAAAUUAAGCACUUUUUAUCCCAAAAAUAAACAAAGGAACCCAACAUUAUUAUACUGCCUUCAUUAGCAGAGUUGGUGGAUUAUUUGGUGUUGUGUGAAGAUUUUGUGAUGAAGAAAUCUGGACAGAAGAAUCUUCCAUACCAUUACCAUGUAUAUUAUAUAAAUUUAUAAAUGACUAGUUAAACAAAAAUAUUAUGUUGUAAACCGUUAGAUGAAAACAUACAAAUGCUAAACACGACGUAUAUAUAUAAUGCAGAAAGGUUACUGACACAAUAAUAUUAUAUAAUUUUCUGGUCCAAUUUGACUUUGCUUUGCUUCUUUUACUCUCAAACUAACAUUCCAAGACACCCUUGAAAGUUUGUUAGGGCUGCCACCUCCCUGUCCUCUCUCUCUCUCUCUCUCUCUCUCUCUCUCUCCUUCUCGAGUAUGUACUAUGGCCUGCAUGAGGUAGAGGUUCAGCAUCUAGUUUCAAUCGUCCCUGUCUCCAUCACGCAAAUCAAUUGCAGUUUCUAUUUCUUUUAAUUAUUUAACCAAACCCAUUACUUGGUCCUCUGAUUGAAUUGAUGAUAAACGAUCAAACUAAGGCCACAAAAUAACGUAUAGGAAAAACGAGUAGAGUAUUAUUAGUUGGUUGAGUUGUGUGGUACUCUUUUUCUUUCUCGUAAGAAAGGCAAAGUUUUAACGAUGCCACUCUAAGAGCACCUCGGUUUCUAAUUGAAGUUCUUCUACUCCAUCAAAAAAAAUAUUGAUGAUAAAUGAUAAAACACAAAAAGAGUAACCACAGCAAGAUUAGCCUUAAUUUGAUUAUCAAUUAUAAUCACUCGUAUAGUCUUUUCAUAAAGUACGUCCGCACACGAGAAUUAUUGGUGUCAUUGAAGUUGAUGUGUCCUUGCUUCCACACACUAUAACAUAUGUCAGUGUUGAUUAGUUGUUCGUUCGUUGUACAUGUUUCAUGCAGCACAGCUCCACAGAGCACUAGUUUAUAGACAAAAUAACGAAAAAACCAAGAAAGACUUGGCUAUCGAUCCAUUUUUCUUUGUCAUACAUUCUAGAUCAAAAUUUGGACUAAUUUUCAGUUAUAUAUAUAGAGAGAGAGCGUUUCAAUUGAGAGAUUUCUCAAAUAAAUUUGAAGAACACUCUUGUAAAACUCGUUCUAUAUUUUAUUUCAUUAAUUCAAAUGUCUAUUUUAUAUUAUAGCACUUUUGAUUGCAUGCAAGUAUACAUAUUGUUGCGGCCAAAUCUGGACCUUGAGACUGAUGUGAGUUUAGGUUUAGAAUAUU